rnacentral:lncRNA from 1 species
UUUUGCUAUAUGAUUUUGUUUAUGAAACUUGAUUGUAAAGUUAAUGAUUGAGUUUUAUUUGUGAUGUUAUUGAUCAUCUUAGUUAAUCCUCAUGUUCAUGAAUAUAAAAAUUGAGGCAGGAGUUUGGUGAAAUUGGGAAUUGAAUUUGUGGGAGAAUGUUUUUGUGUAGUUGAGUUUAAUUCGUAGCGACCAAGUAUCAGGUGAGCUAAUAUAGCUGUACGAUUUUGGUGAUCGAGUUUAAACAAAAGGACUAGCAAAGAGGGAAUCAUGGUUUGAGUACGUGAGGGGUUACUGUUGAAGGCCUCAUUGCCUUCAUACAUUAUCAUUAUUGGUUUCUGUAAUAUAAAGAGGUUUGGCCUCCUACUGAGCUAUUGAAGCUCACCUCUAUAUUGAAAAUUUCAGGUAUUGAAUAUGAAGUUUAGAUUUCUAUGUUGAAGAGCUAUGUGCUGAUGUGAAGAAAGUGUGUGUGUGAUAGGAGCACAAAGUGUGACGUUCUUAAUAUGUUUAUACCCUUUAUUUACCCUUUGCUAACUCCUAUUUAGUUGUUUUAGCUUUAUAUUUGUGUUUAGUGUAGAAUAAUUGCUUAAUUUAGAAAUAUGUAGUUUUUAAUGUUAAAAUACAUAGUAAUUUCGGAAUUGAAGAAUUUGGUGUUGAAAUUGUGCUAAGUGUUGGAACUCCUUGUUUACUCAGGAUUCCUGUCUUGAUCAAGAUUCCAUCUUUCCUCGAAGCCUAGUCCAUGAAGGAGAGAUCCAAACCAAGUCCAAUAUGGAGAAGAAGAUCUAAAUUCGGCAGAAUUUCAAGAAUAUCCAAGCCCUUGAAAUCCGGAUUAAAUCGGGAGAAUUCCUGUGCACGUCUGUCAACUUCAACGGACUCUCCAGGACAGCUCACNNNNNNNNNNNNNNNNNNNNACGUGCCAGAUAUGGAUAGAAAGCUACGGGAGUCUAGUUUCCAAAUCAAUUGGAAUCACCUCAAUAUCUGUUUUCUAGAGGGAGUUAUGACGCAAUCAUCAGACGGAGGUCAUUCUGCCGAAAGGGAGAAAAACUAGGAAUCCUAAACCAAUUUGGUUUAGGCUUUGUGGCCGACUUCUCUAGGGUUUUUCCUCUAUAUAAAGCACGACUUCAAGGACAGAAGAUGAUCAUCAACCCGUGCAAAUAACACCAAAGCCUUUGCCGAAACUCCAUCAACCUCCAAACACCACAAUCCGAUCCCACCUUCAGCAUUCGUCCAAAGCACGUAGCCUAGGACUCCGCGCACUCGAAGAAUAGAACAAGUAGGGAUAUUUUGAGAGUGUAUUUCAUCUUCUAUUUUCGGAUUGCUAUGUGUUUGUUUUCGUUUAUGUUUGCUUUAGGUAUUUGCUUAAGUAUGCUUCGAUUCUUGUCUAUGAGAUAGAACUACUUUUGAACCAUGUUUUGAAUUAAAGUUUACAAUUUAUAAUCAAUGAUUUGAGGUUUUAUGCCGUGAGUUUUGUGUCUAAAUACUUUAAGAUUUUCGGUGCUAUAUUCCAUUAUCAUGUGUAGUUGAUACAAGUAGUUGAUAUUGCAUGUGUUAAUCAUCCAAAGUUCGACUUUGAUACACGUAGUUGAUAAGUUGCAUUGUCUUUGUUAUUUCACCGAUUUUCUACCUAUGUUUGAUUUGGACUUGUGCUUAAACACAUCAAAUUCUUUAUGUGAUACGUAAUUGCAUGAUUAGUUUAUGUGUGUGACCUAUAAGUAGAGCACGUAGCCGAGCUUGUUUGUGUCAGAUGUUGAAUGAAACCCGUAGUCUAAUUCUAAGUUGGUCUAUGUCAUAGGAACCACGUAGGAACUUAUGUGCAUAUCAAAUUUAGGUUGUAUAUUUGCUCACGGUAUAGACUUAAAUGAGAUUAGAGAUUGUCUUCUUUGUUCUUGCAUGGUUGUUUGGUUGUGUUUGCAUGAUUGUUGGUUGAUCACAUGUAAAUAUGUAUAGAAGUAAUUUAGGAUUUAUUAUCAAUGUUUAUUCCAAAAUCAUCAAAACCUUUAAACCUAUAUGCUUAUUUCGAUAUUUACAUUAGAUUAGAUGGAUCUACCCUGUAGUUGGAUCCCCGGUUUAGAACGAUCCCUGCUUGCUUUAUACUACGACUGAUUUGUUGACAGGGUUAAUUGAUGCGUGUGCAAAUACGUCUUAUCAGUGUGGCUUGUCCUUUUAAAUUUCUGUUUAGAAUAAGAACAAAGGCUGUAGCAUGUUGUUAGCCUUUGAAGUUAUGUUUUAAAUUUAGUUGGAAUAAUGAACUAUGACAAGUUUGUAUUGUAAUAACCUCUUUAUUGAAUUAGUUAUUGAUUCCAAGUUCUUUAAAUUGAUUCAUUAUAUUUCCAGCUCUUAUAUUUAAUAUUCAUUGGUUAAACUCAAGGUAUAAUAAAAUCUGCAAAAAGCUGGAACUAUGUUUUUUUUGAAAAUUCUGCAUGAGUUACUUUUCUUUCUGAAAACCGUACAGUUUUGUUUGGAAUUUGAAGUUGGUUUCCUCAUAAGAUUUGUAGUAGACAUUUUAAGGUUCAUUCCAGAAUUUGAAUAACUUGAAAACGAUUUCUGUAGAUUAAGUUAUGAUUUUUCAAAGUUUAAGAUUUGCAUCAGGAAAUUCUGCAUAUCAGGGUUUCUGGGAUUUUUGACUAGUUACAUUCUUUCGAAAAACUGUACAAAUUGGUUAAUUUUUUGCACUUGGUUUCUUCAUGAAUGUUACAAUAGACAUCUUAAAGAUCAAUUAAGAGUUGGAAUCUCUUGAAAAUAAGUUUUCUAGAAUUAGUUAUGAUUUUUCAAAGUUACAAGUCUGCUGCAUUUUUUUGAAACAACAACCAAGUUCUUAUUUCUUUUACUAGCUAGCUUUUCUUUUCAUUUCAGUCACACCUUCGACUCAAAAAAAAAAAAAAACAUCUAGUUCAGGGUGUGACAGAUCACCAACAUACCAUUGUUCAGAUUAAGUGGCACAUAAGCUUGUGGUUUUACAAUUGCAAGUGAAAAUUAUCUUUUCCAAACGGCCAUGAUUGAGUGUUACCGAUUCCCAGUGAUGAUUGUUCAUGCACAUUUAGUGUUAAAGAAUAGAUCGAGCAUGCUGAAUUGCUGAUAAUUGGAGAUUUGGAGGGUAUAUACCAUGGCACCUAGCUUAAUAAGCUUAGCUACCAAAUAUUGAAACAUGUAUGUAACCUGUUCAUAUACAUACUGCUUGCUUCAUCACCUCGAUCAGAUGCAUUUCUGAUUUACUAACCUUCUUGCAUGACUUUCACCAACUUAUUUUCAUUGCAGCACUAGAAAAUUGCUAGUAAAAUCAAAUGAUCGAUAAUGGUAGGUGGUUUGUGUACAUGAGAUGUUGGAGACAAUUAAAAAGUAUUAGUUGGCAUCGGGAACGUACUGUAAUAAUUUAGUAAUCAGUUAUUGGUUUCAUUAUGUCUAAAUUGGACAAUCUAACUCAAGCUUGUCUAUACUGAUGAAAAAAGUCGAAAAACUUUACCCUGUUCUAUCGAUCAAUAAUACUACAUGUAUACAAGAAUAAAAUACAUGGAUGAACUGAAGAAGAGGAAGCGAGAUUGAGAUGAAUUGAGAGAGAAGACGAAGGAGUCAAAUGUGAAGGGGGAGGAAGACGGGAGAAGACUGAGAAGAGAAAGAGAACAACGUUAGUUUUCGUUAACAUAGAAAACCUAAAGCUUUGCAUUUAAUGUAUAAUUUGCUGAUGUAGCCUAUCUAUAGCCUUUAGAUGUCUCAUCUACGGUUAUUAUUAAAAGCUGCCAAGUACGUUAAGAGUAACCAAGGAGAGAAUCUUAAUCCAUACACAUAUACAUCCGCCAAUUGUAGAAGCACUAGAAUUAUACCCGCGUCUUGGCGCGGUGUAUACAUUUACGGUGUGUUUGGAUAUGGGUGAAUUCCUGAGAAUUUAAUCAAACAUAAUGAAUUCUCAAUUUCUUAGGACGGUUUCCCUCGUUUGGAUACUUAUCCCAUGGAAUUAGCAAUUUUCACGGGAAAAUAAUCGUGAAAUUUAGGAGCUUAAAUUCCCGACUUGAAUUCCUCACAAAAUAAGCAUCAUUUGUCAAUUCCAUUAACUAAGGUUAGUCUGAAUACAAAUUCUUGUCAUUUUAAAACUCUACAUCAUGAAAUCUAAAUAAUGAAAUUCUUAAUUAAUAGAAUUUAAAUUCAUGGAAUUGUAAUUCUAAUGGUUUUAAAAUUUCUACGGACACAUUAUGAAAUUCAAAUAAUGAAAUUCUCAAUUAAUAGGAUUUAAAUUCAUGGAAUUGUAAUUCCCAUGAUUUUGAAAUUUNNNNNNNNNNNNNNNNNNNNUCCAUCUUGGAAGAAUAAAAUGUGCCGGUAUUGUUUCCAUAUCCAAACGUGAAAAUACCUUCAACAAGUGCCUACAAAGUAUUCCAACAAACUCAAAAUUUUGGCACUCACAAGAACCCUCAUAAGUCGUCAAAUCUAACUUCACCAUAAAAUCUUGCUCAUGUUCUCCGAGCCUUUUUUUCACCAAGUAUGAGUGCCAUUCAUUGUCAUGUUCCCUUUCUUCAACUUUAUAGUGAUUAAUUUGACUCCAUUGUGCCUUGAAUUUGUUGAAAAUAUUUCUGGUAUACAACUUUGAUGCAUCUUUCAGAAGGAAUUCAUCAUCAUUCACAAUUCGAAACUUGUGUUCUGACUCAAAGUCUUCCUCACUUUCAUUUUCUAUAAUCCUCUUCAAUGCUUGAUCAUAUCUAACCACAAACUCUCUAAGAUUUGUCGUUGAUGUAACAAACCCAUCAAAAAAAGAGUUAAUUCCCUCACUGCGUCCAGUAGUAUUCAUUCCUGCAAAGAAGGUUCCAUGAUGAUAAACCGGCACCCAAGAAGUACGUAUCUCAUAAAGAUUAUUUAACCAAUCAUUUUCUUCUAAUUCAUAUUCAGUCAUUAAAGUCUUCCAUUUAUCUUCAAAGUCUUCAGUCCUGUAUGUAAAUUGAAUACAUUUCUUCAUCUCCUUUUUGAAUUUUGAUUUCUUGUAGUACACAUGGGACAACUUCUCAACAAACUUCUUCUUGAUAUGCCAAAGGCAUAAGCGAUGGUGAGUGUUUGGAAAUAUCUUGGCAAUUGCUCCUUUCAUUGCCAAAUCUUGGUCAGUUAUAAUGGAAAUUGGAUGACGACCUCCCAUUGCUUGUAACCAUGUCUCAAAUAACCACAAAAAGUUAGUCUCUGUCUCAUCUUGUAGAAGUGCACAACCAAACUGUAUCGACUGCCAAUGGUGGUUCACUCCUGUGAAUGGCGCAAAAGGCAUAUCAUACUUGUUUGUCCUGUACGUUGUGUCGAAUGUGACCACGUCUCCAAAAUAUUCAUAGGCCAUGCGUGAUCGAGCGUCAACCCAAAAGAAAUUAGUUGCUCUUCCAUCUUCAUCGCAUUGGAUUGCAUAAAAAAAUCGGGGAUUUUCAGCUUGUUUUUUCUAAAGUAAGUGAGCAUUGACUGAGCAUCUCCUCCAUCCAGCUGUCUAUAACAAACAUUUCUUAAAUGAUUAUAACAAUCUCUUUUGUUAAAACCAAUUUGAGCACCACCAAGGAUUGAAUGAACGUUUGCAAUCGGCAAAUUUUCUUUAUGAAAUAUCUCUGUCAUACUCCUUGCUGCUUUAGGCAUAUGUUUAUUUGACUUCAUCUUCUUUCUUCUUACUGGAGUAACUACUUUGUGAUUGUGAAAGUCUCUAAAAACAGAUACCUUCCAUUUGUUUGACCACUUGUCAUGAAUGAUCUGCAUACUAGCUUUGCACCCACAUUUCACAGUAGAACAAUUUCUACUCACUUUCUUUUUAUUCAUAUCGCUACCUUUCUCAGCAUGCUCAGUCCCAUUAGCAUCCUCGUUUCCGGUCUCAGUAUCAUUUUCACUAGUCUCUGUCUAAUUGUUUUGUUUCCACACCUCUUUUACGGUUUUCUUCCAGACAUAUUUUCCCUGAUGAGCACAAACGAAUUGGCAACUAGUCACCUCGUCUGAGCGGGAUCUUGUCCUUUUAGAAGAUUGUGUUCGAAUCCAAAAGCCUUCUUCCCGAUCGUAUUCUUCGUAAUAUUUUCUGGCUUCAUCUACUGUUUCAAAAAGCAUUCCUACAUAUGGUGCUUCCACUUGUUCAAUUUCAACUCUUCUAAUUGGAGUACUCGUUGCAUGGUUCUCUACUUGAGGUGUGUCUGUAACCUGUAUAUAACAAUAAUCAUGCUUACCAUUAUCAUUCAUUCAUGCUACGUACAUAUAGAAUCCACGUAUCUAGGAUAAAACAAAGGUUAUGAUGCGUAGAUAUUAUAAAAAUAGAUGAACUCAUGAAGAAAUUUACAAUUAUUGAACAUGAAAGCCAAACAUAUGACAUNNNNNNNNNNNNNNNNNNNNNNNNNNNNNNNNNNNNNNNNNNNNNNNNNNNNNNNNNNNNNNNNNNNNNNNNNNNNNNNNNNNNNNNNNNNNNNNNNNNNNNNNNNNNNNNNNNNNNNNNNNNNNNNNNNNNNNNNNNNNNNNNNNNNNNNNNNNNNNNNNNNNNNNNNNNNNNNNNNNNNNNNNNNNNNNNNNNNNNNNNNNNNNNNNNNNNNNNNNNNNNNNNNNNNNNNNNNNNNNNNNNNNNNNNNNNNNNNNNNNNNNNNNNNNNNNNNNNNNNNNNNNNNNNNNNNNNNNNNNNNNNNNNNNNNNNNNNNNNNNNNGAAAAAANAAAAAAAAAAAAAGAGGCAACGUACUGGUGAUCUGCAUUGAGAGUUUGAUGGAUCUUGUAUAUGCUCAGUCAUCUUAAUGGAGCUAGGAAAUAGGUGAGAAAGAGGAAUGAAUCAAAAGAUCGACUAAAACUCAAUUACUGUAAUUAUAAGUGUGUGUGGCUGUGCACUAUUCUUUUCUUCUUCUUCAUCUUCGUUGGCGCACUAUUAUUUUCUUCUUUCUUAGGUUGUUUCUUCUUCUUCUACGUUUUCUUGAAACUGAUCGAGCAUGUCACAUCCCGACCCUUAUAUUUUUUUACCUUAUUUACUAGCUUGAUUAUAAUAAGAAUUUUACCGUCCCUGUCAUUGAGGUAAUAGUUUAAAUGGUCCCUAGAGAUAUUUUAAGGGACGAUUAAUUUCGGGGAAUUAUUCGUGGGAGGAAAUAUGACGACGGUAAAAAUGGUAAAUUUUAGCUAGUAAAAGGUAAUUUUUAUUCGGGUAUUAUUUUUCGGGGUUUUUUAUAUUUUUGGAUUUGGGUUGUCUAAAAGGAUGGACCGGUUUGGGGUGUGAGGCCCAAACCCAGUUUUUUUUCUUCUUUCUUUUUCUUCCUCUUUUCUUCCCGGUUUCCUCCCGAGCCUCUCCCCCGCCGGAAACUUCUCGCCGUCCGUACGCCGCCGUCCGGCCACCAUCUGCCGCCGCUCCGGUCCCGUUCGGUUGCCCUCCGACCCAGCUACCGUUCUAGACCGGUGACAGCCCCCCUAGCGCCGCCGUGAGAGAGCGGUGCCGCCCGAAAGUUUAGACUGCCAAGAACUUCCAGUCGUCGGAACUCCCUCCUCCGGCCACCAAAACCGGCGAUCCUUGGCUCGUUUUGUAGCCCUCCUCCCGUGCAGCAACCCCUCUAAUCGGCUCACUCCCUCUUGAGCUAGGUAAGGAGAAAUAUGGAGUUAAAUUUUCUAGGGCUUUUAGGAUGUUUUCAUUCGAUUAGCCUAGUUAGGCUUGGAAUUGGGUGAUGUGCUGGUUAUGAAAGUUGUAGAGCGUGAUGAGGAGAUUAUUCUGUCAAAAUUUCAUAGGUUUUGUAGGUCGCCGGAAUUGGCCUCCGGCCGCCGCCAGUUAAGAGAUUUUUAGGGUUUUAAGUGUGGAAUAUUAAGAGGAGUAUAUUGAUGUGAUUUAUGGAAUUUUUGGAUGAGAUUCGGAUAGGUUUGUGAAUUUCCGAAGUUUGGUAUUUUUUGCGGUUAAUUAAUGUAGAAUCCGGCCGUAGGAUUUAAGUCGUAUUUUGGGGAGGUUGUAUUUAUGACUGUUGAGUAUGAUAUUUAAGUUCGGAUCGUUCCGAUUUAAGAAUAUCGAAGUUAGGCAAUGAUGAGCGUAUUUAUGGCUCUCGGGUAAUUUUGCCUAUUUUGAUUAAAUAUUGGAUUAUUGGUUGGGAAAUUAAUAUUAUAUUUGGAACAGGACGUGAGGAGGCUCGAGCAGACGAGGCCCCAGAUCGACAUCAGGCUUAGGCCUAAUUUGUGAGUGGACGUUUCUUUUAAAUAAAUGCAUGCUAUAGUUCAUGGUUGAACAAUUAAUGUUGCGGAAUAUUUUAACGUCAUUUUUAUUUCUCUUGGAGAGUUACCGAAAAUGGGAUUUUUGGUGGAUAUAAAUAUGUAUUUAUGAGAGAGUAUGUAUAUAAAUGCUAGCUAGCCAUAUGUGUCUGUCCACCUUAAUGGCGUAGCAUAUAGCCGCAUUAUGGUGUGACGUGAGCGUUGGACGUGAGCGUAGUAGCCCUAUAUGAGUGUUUAAUUCACAUAGGGGGUAUGGACACAUAUUUAUACACCCGUCUGUCCACCUUGAUGGCGUAGUGUAGCACCGCAUUAAGGCGUGACGUGAGCGUUGGACGCGAGCGUAGUAGCCCUAUAUAGACCCAUGAAUUUAUAUAGGGAGUAUGGACGAGUGUAAAUACAUACAUAUAUUAUAGAGUCUGAGAGGCUCGAUAUUUUAUGAGAUAAAAGUUUUAUCGCUUGCGGCAUGCAUUCGAUUUUUCAUUAGAAAUUAAUUUGGGGAAACAUAAAUAUUUUAAUUAUUAUUUUAUUUUUGUCCACUCACUCUAACGUUAUUAAAUGUUUUCCCUGGGCCUUUCGUUUUAAAUUGCCCAGUCUGCAGAGUUCGGGUUGGAUCUAGUAGGAGGCGAGGCAUAGUCACCCGUAUUUCCGCCAGUUUUCAUCAGUAGGUUACUUGUUUAACCUACUAGUGUUUUCUUGCUUCCGCUAGUGUUUAGUAGCUCUGAAUACUUUGGGAUUAUUGUAUAUUAUGUUUAGAAUUUCUGAAGGAUAAUUAUAUGAUGUUUGGACGUGUUGUAUUAAGAGUGUAAUUUGGAAUUUCGAGUUAGUGUUGUCCAUUUUCAAGGGAGAUUUUCUCAAUCUUUUCAGUAAAUUUUCCUUGGAGGUGGUCCCCGCACGACUUACUCUGGGUUUCAGGGUGAAAUUCGGGGUGGGUCGUGUCAGAGCAAGUAGUUGAAUUUGGGUAGGAAAACAAUUGAAAGAUUUGAUCCUUUAAUUGUAUUAAGAUCGUACUUACCAUUGAGUUUUCAUUAUUAAAUUGAUUUUGAUAAUCAAUGUUUCAAUCGGCAGAUGUGUACGUAUUAUGGGUUUAUUUGGUAAGGACAUCGAUAACCAUCACAUGAUAAUUAUCUGUGGUUUAAUUAGGAAUAAUUAAAAGUAAAAGAGAGAUAAAUACAAGCAUUAAUAGAUAAUUAUCUUAUAGAUAUUAUAUAUUUAUUUUAUUAGAAAGGUUUAAUGACUUGUGUUUAAUCUCACCCGUCUAUUGUUAUUAAGUUUGACAGACAAGAUCUGGAGUAUAAUUGUAACUAUAAAUUAGGUUGCCACGGAUCCGCUCCGAAAUAUAAAUGCUCUAAUUAUUUUGAUUUGUAAAAUUCAGGAUAUAGAAGAAAAGUAAAAAAUAGAGGGCAAAAAAAUCUUUACCGAGAAAGAGCCUAUUUAAAAAUAUCUAAAUUACAUGUUUUAGAAAAAAAAGAAAAAAAAACAAAUAAAAAAAAAAAAAAUAAAAAAUAAAAAAUAAAAAAAAAAAAAAAAAAAAACUUUUAACACUGUUCAUAUGCUGAUGAUAUGAACAGUUAACCAUGGUUUAGUAUAAAGUAUAAGUAUAAUAAUAGGCUUUAAUCGGGUCAAGUAUAGACAACAAUAAAUGGUCAGGUCAAGGAUAUCAUCUUAAAUCCUUGACAACAAGUAAAAGAGAUUGAAGUUUGACUUGAAGGUUUAGCAUGCAGAUCAUUUUGUAACAAAGAACUAACUAUAUACCGUUUAAUCUUUUAUGCAUGAGAAACUUCGUUUUCAACGGGGAGGUCUAUGUUUGAACUUUGAAGAGCUUAAAAUAAGGUAAAUAGCUUGAAUAUACUCUCCUUUCUUGGCAUGCAAAAGACUAUAGUACAUAGAUGAUAGAUUGUAAGUUUUUGUUCUUGACUCCUAAUAGAGUCCAAGGCCCAGAAAAAAGAAACCUGGCCUAUAAGACCAUUACAAGACAUCUUUGACCAUAAACAAGGCCAGGGAUACCAGUUUUACCACUGAAAUCUAAAUUUGGUUCUUCUAGCACACAUGCCAAAUUCCCAAUAUAAUUUCACAAAAUUGUAUUUUUUCACAAAUUUUGUUGAAGAAAUAAGAUAAAAUUAUCGUGUGCGCUAUAGGUUUGCAGGCACUUAAGAUGUGGAUAUAUCAUUCCUAUACGACUAUACCGGAGACGUGGGAUUCCUAAGCCUAUGGGUUUUUUUUUUAGAAAUAGGCAAUUUUAUUAACUUAUCUACGGUCAGAAAACGUUUAUAUCAAUUUGUCUAUUACCAAAAGUCUAAUUGGCAACAAACACUAACAAAGAGACAAGUAACUCACUAUUCUGAAGAGGAAAAGCAAAAGAUUGCUCGGUGUCUCUUCAAUGACUUUAGAGUUAAGAGUCUAAAUUAUAGUCCAGUACUCUAAUAAAAAUGUAACAUAAUCAAAAGUGAAGUAACCAAAACCUAAAUUGUAUAGUGUAGUAGGUUGAGACUAUAGUCGGAUCGAAUUCAAGUGGCCAUAAUUAGAGUCGGAAUAAAAUGGUCGAGAUAUGGCUUAAGUUUGAGUUGGGUCAAUGUCGAAAAUGAGGAUACGAUGUAGAUGAAAUGAACAUUUCAUACACCUUUUUUAUAGUGUAUGGAAAUGGAAUAGGAAUCAUCAUCGUUACUAUUGUUUUGUUUUGUUUGGUUCACACUAUGGAAUUGUUAUAGUUGAUCAACUGUCACAUUUCAUUCCAUUCUAUUUCUUUCAUGGCAUAUAAACUCAGGUUUCGAAAAGGUGACUAAUGUAGGAUAAGGUACGUGACGGUUAAUCCAGAUGGAGAAGAAUUAUUGCUUCCCUUGCUAUCUAAUUUGGCUAGAUGGAGAACAAGGGUUAUGGUCCCUCUGGAGGUACGUACUUAAUUUGGUUUUGUAACUGAGCCUAGCUAGGAACCCGAAACUUUUCUCUACCCAAAGUAGAAUAUUAAGAUCCUAACAGAGAAUUUUACACCGGUAUUUGCACAAAACAAAUGAAAUGAAAUGGAAGACAAAAACAAUAACAAAGAUCAAAAGACAAGCAAAACCCGCAAUUUGAUGGUAAAAAACCCUGGUCUUGGAACCAUGAUUUUCCCCACCUCAGUCGUCUCUGCAUCUGUAAGCAAAUGAAGCUCAUCAAACACCAUGAUCAUGAGGAUUAGGAGAACGGUCAAAGCUCCAGUUGCUGACCAUCUAGGGUUUCGCAUACAGUUUAUUUUGAAGAGUCAAAGGUUCCCUAUUCCCAGUAACAGUCCUCACUGUCCUCGCACCAGGACCCAAGUUUUCUGCAGCUAGCAACUGGCAUAUAUUAUACAGUAUGUACAUUUUUAACUCCAUUCAUUCCUUUCCCUGGCUCUCUCUGAUUGAUAAUGUACUAUAGAAUAUCUGAUCGACUAGAUUAGACUAUUGUGAAUGAGUGGAUGGCAACUUUGAAUAUAAGAUAGGUAUACAGAGAAGAGGAGCGUCUUCUUCUUCUUCAUCUUCGAUCAAUCGAUCAUCUUUCUCAUGCUCUCGAUCGAACACUGACCAGACUUAGCUGGGUUGUUUAAUCAGUGGGAGUCGUGGUCCAGCCUUUUCUCACGUGAAGACGCUCCUCCUCUUCUUCUUCUUCCCCUACUACAAUUAUAAUCUACAUUCACGUGUGUUAUCAUGCAUACCUUGAUCAAGUUUUUUAUUUUUUCUUUUGCUUAGCUUCCCCAUUGUGGCCCGAACCAAAACCCUACCUUCGAUCACUCUCUUCCAAAUCGCUUGCUAGUUACAAACACUGGUGGGACUGCUACAUGUUUGCUAUGUGUUUCGAUUGUGAAUCUGUACGUGAUGGGAUGGGUGGAUUCAAUGGCAGAAGUGUGUGAAGUCAUUAACUUGCUAGUUACUCUAUCUUUGUUAGCAUAUAUUUACUUCUUCUCUUAUGUAAAAGAACAACGACAAAAAAGGAGACAGCCGAUUAUCUUCACUAGCUAGCUCACUGCUAGUAAUUUGUUUCAUAUCACAAAGCUUAGACCAAGAUCCUAAAUAUUAUCAUUCCUAAAGAGAAUUCAUUUUGAAGAGACAUUAGAUGUGUGAUGUUUUGAAACUAUAUAUGAACCAGUCUACUCCAACAAUCAUAUUCAGGACAAGAAAACGAUUACCCUAGCCUUCAAUUCUGAUGGGAUUAAGCAUGAACACUCUUCCCAAACCGACACAAUUGAUGCAUAUUAGGACAAAUUUCACGCCAAUGACACCAUUCAUGUGUGCGUACGCGUAUUGUAUAAUUAGUGUUAUAUUCAUCUGGUUACAAACCAUAUUCCACAUCUCAGAUCGACUCUUAUGAAUCCAAAAACAAUGACUAAUGAGAGGUCAAGACAAACAAAGCAUUUCUAAUCUGUGUCAUUAAUUAGGCAGUGAGAUUAGCAACACGUACUGCCAUCUUUUCUAGGGUAAUAUACUAAUUAUCCUACAUUGAGUUGUAUAAGAUGGGCAUUAAACCAAUUCUAUUCACAGAGACCAGAUUUUGGAUCUUGCGUCCCUUGUCAUUUUUAAUUUGGAUCUUACCUUGUUUAAUUUCCCUCCAAAGAAUACAUGACUACCAUUACACUCCCUACAGUUGUAAAAGAAUAAUUCACUUUAUUUUGGUCCUACUCCCAUUGUUGCCUAACUAAUCAAUUCAAUUUUAGGCCGGGUUACAUGACAAAAUAUAUGAAUUCUCUGUUUGGUGUUGGUCUGACAUUACUCGACUCUCAUUCUCAAUGGUGCAUCACAAACCUAAUUUUCCAAAACCUUUAUCUGAAGCUUUCUGGUGCAUCAAAAUUUAAUUAAGGGUUAAAGCUUAAAGAUAAACAAAACCCAAUUGUUUAAAGUCAGAUACGUUUGCAGAGAAAGAUGCAUAUAUUAGUAUCCUAGGUGUGGUGAUUAGUUAAGAGUAUCGUUAAACAAAAAGGAACAAAAAGUAAGGAAAAGAUGAAAGUUUAUUAAAAAUGUUUUCAUCAUCUUUGACAGUCAUAUGUAUAAUACAAGUAUAUGUACGUUUAUAAAUCGAAUUGAGUAGCAAGCAAGUUUAGGCUCAAUAUUGAGUCAAGCUCAGUUCAUUAAUUUAUGUUACGAGCCGAACAAGCUAAAAACGAGUUGAACACGAACGAUUCGAGCUGACUUACAACCCUACAUAUAUAACAAAAAUUUGCUCUAGCUUACUACGAAGACAAUAAUCAUUUUAUGUGGAUGGAAAACAAACCAUGAAAAUGUUCACAAUUUAAUUAAUUAGUAUUCACUCUCGUGCGUACUACAUACAUAAAGUACAAAUGUUAUUACUUUUUUCCUUUUUCUUUGAAUGAAUUGGGAAUGUGUGUUGUACCAUGACAAUAAUUUGGUAUAAGAUUGCACAAGAAAGGUAGACAAUCAUUCGAGUUGGUACAAACAAGUAAAGUACAAGGAUUAAGGUAAACAAGGGGGGAAAAAGAACAAAGAGCAAGCUUCCAAUUACCAUCUCUAAAAUGUUAGCUCAAUAAAUGAAAAUGAAAAAAACUUACAUGCUUAACUUGGUUUUCAUUAUUUGGGAUCUACAAGGUAUAAGCUUAACUUCAAUCCUAAAAACCAACAUGCAUUCUGUCAUCCUCCAGCCCCUUUGGACCCUCCUCCCCUCAAAGAAAAUAAUAUAGAGAAGAGUUGUUGGUGAUGAUGAACCUUAGGACCAAAAGUCCCAAUGAGAUCAUUUUAAUCAGAUGGGACAAAACUCUCUAUCCUACAGCUGUCCAAUAUUAUAGGGUACCCCAAUGAAAGAAUAGUAUCUAUAGUACGCAUGUCAUUUUAUAUGUAAGGAUUCAUUGAUCAUAAUCAUCAUAUACGAUCAUAUGGUAUAAAAUGUUAAUAAGCAAACAUAUGAGACCGCGGUGAUAUAGUAGAGUAUACUAGAAUUACUGAUGUUUUGUAUACAAUGUGACGUGAUAUUACAAGUUUUUAACUCGCCCGGAAAAAAAAUUAGUAAUAAUAGAAAAUAAUAUCAUUGCGAUAUAAAUUAUUAACUGAAUUAUUAUUAUCAUAUACAACACAUAAUGAGAUAUAUACAAAAAAAAUAACUUACUUUAAAUUUAAAAGAAGUAACUUAGAUAAGAUUGUCAUUGACUUUCGAGUUUGAGAUAUGUAUUAGUUAAAUGUCAUCGGUUUGAGAUAUGAGCUACACCCCCUCUUCUUUUGAUGUCAUCUGUUUUGGUUCGUCGGUGUCUUGUUUUUUAUUUUUUAUUUUUUAUUUUUAUUAACAUGUGCUAAACUUUAACAAAUUCAUCACAAGACAAAGGAUAUUGGCACAAGUGUAUCACACUCUUGGACACAAAUUUACAAGAUCAUUUUGCUAUUAGUUUCCAAAAUUUGUAGAUUUUAUUGGAUUACGAUUAGGUUUCCAAAAUUUUAGUUGGUUGUUUUGCUAGUAUAUCAUGUACGUACGGCAUGUAUAGGAGUACGUACUCCUUACUCCUAACUCUACACAGACACUUCUCCCUUAACUACUAUUUUAACUUCCCAUGCCACAUCUAUAUCUCCUCCAACUCAUCCGCUCGUUUUGGCGGCACCAAAACCGCCACUUACCUUCACACACACUCCCCACAUUCACUCUCUUACCCCCCUCUUCCUCUCUUUUAAGAUUUCACACAAUCACAGCACCGUGGAUAUAGCAGUUGUGUUUAAUGCUGCCAAUGAAUAUUGAGCGCUCGUCAUUGUUUUGACAUUUUUGUUUUUGAUUCUUUCCCCUAUCAUUGUGAUAGAUGUUCAGAGAGACUGAGGAGAAUAAUGGAGGGCUCUGAGUUCUCUAGCCUUCUCUGCCAAGAAGACGAGACUUGCUUGAUCAAUCAAGUGGAAGAUGAUGAAGAAUCAGAAGACAGUGCGAUUGGUUUCUACCCUUUUUUUGUUUCUGAAAAUGAAGAUGAGUAUGUUGAGAACUUGUUUCUGAAGGAGAGUUAUUGCUUUGGAUCCAAGGGAUUUGUACCCUUUAGCCAUUGCUCUGCCACAACCUGGUUCAAAGCUGCUCGCUUGGAUUCUAUUGAUUGGAUUUUCAAUGCAUGUUCCUCUUCUGAAUCUCUCUUCUUAGUUUUCGAUUCUUUUCUUCCCUUUCCGAUCGUUCUUUGUUUCAAUUCAGUUUCUGAAAGUUACGUUGAUUUACUAUUUUGAUUCAGGCCAGGGCAGAAUUUGGUUUCCGGUUGCAAACAGCAUAUUUGUCGAUCACAUACUAUGAUCGGUUCCUAUCAAAGCGAUCCAUUGAUGUAAGCCGUUAUUCUGAUGUACUGAACAAAGGGUACUUGAUGGUUACCUGAUCUGAGUUUAUAUUUGGUGCCAUUGAUUUUGUAUAGGAUGGGAAACUGUGGGCUUUUAGAUUACUAUCAGUGGCAUGUUUAUCCUUGGCGGCGAAGAUGGAAGAAAUCAAAGUACCAUCUUUGUCACAAUUUCAGGUUCAAGAUUACGAUUUUGAAAGCAGAACCAUUCAGAGAAUGGAGCUAUUGGUGUUAAGUACAUUGGAAUGGAAGUUGGGUUCAAUCACUCCUUUUGCUUAUUUGCCUAACUUCAUCAAUAAAUUCUGUUGUGAAAGUGAAUCCAGACCAAAAGGACUUCUCUCUGGUGCUAUAAGCCUCAUUGUGGCAAUGACUAAAGGUAAUCAAUGAUAUGUAAACAUUGAUGGUGAUGAUAGUCCUAAUCUAAUCUAAUCUAAUGAAUGUACAUUUGCUUUUUAUCCUAAUCAGUUUGCUUUCUUUAAUUGCAGAGAUUGAGUUAACAGAUACUCGGCCAUCUAUUAUUGCAGGAGCUGCAAUAUUAGCACUAGUUGAUGGUCAAUUAACUAGAAAUCUUCUGGACCUUAAGAUGAGCUCGAUAUCAUUCUGGCAUUCCGAAGAUUAUGUGAGUAUGCUAGUUACUUCUAUUUGUUCAUUGAGAUUAUCGUUUGAGGACUUAAACGUAGAUAACGAACUGAUGAUUCAUUUCAACUGAUUUCAAUCUUACAUUGGCCUUGCAACAGGAUCAUAUAUAUUCCUGUUACAAUCUUGUGCAGGAAAUUGUGGAAAGGAAAGAUAAGACACCAUCCAAGUUUUCACUCUCUUCCCCUAAUGUGUUACCAACACAAGCAAGCACAAUUGAUGUGCUUGAAAACUCAGGGGGAACAAAGAGAAGGCUUACCUUCAGUGACUCUGAUGACCUCAUCAGUUGCCCAACAAAGAAAAUUCACAUGCCAUAGUUAGCAGGGUUUGUUUUUUCUGCAGAAAAAAGAUUGAUUUGUGUUCAUUGAUUAGAUUAUAGAGUUCUUUACAAAUGAGAAAUGAUUCUUGAUAUUAGGUGGGUUUAUAGGUCUAAUAGUGUUAUAUUUACCAAUUUAUGGUAUCUAUAAUGUGCAUUUUGAUGAUUGGGGUUCCAAUUUCCAAUACCAAACUAAAGUUUUCAGUUGGUGAGUGGUGACAACUGACAACCAAGAGGAUAGAGAAAAGGGAAAGUAAAUAAAUAAAAGAGGAUGAGAACUACUUUAGCCUAUAGGAAGAAGUAAGAAGCUGACUGAAGUCCAAAGCCACUGAGAAGGGGGAUGAGUUUGAACGAAAAUUAUACAGCGCACCUGAAAAUUAUACAGCGCACCUGGGUGCGCCGCAUACCCGUCCAUCUCCGUCGUCCAUUUUAAAAAAGUCAAAAUCCGCGUCUAAUGGACGAUGGAGAUGGACGGGUGCGCGGCGUACCCGGGUGCGCUGAAUACGCUCUCGAGUUUGAAGGCCAAGAGAGUUUGCUUCAAGGCCAUUGAUGACACUUUUUCUAUAAGUGAUCUUUAGUAGUAUUUUGCUUUCAAAUAAAUGCUGCUAUAUUGCUUGCCCACUUCCUUUUUCAAUUUGGUGUAUUUUUCUCCUUGUUGUUAUUAUUUAAUUAUGUCUAUGUUUCAUGAAAGAAAACAUUUAUUGAUGUACUUAUUCAUCACUUGCAACCCUACUUUUUAUGGGGGGCUUGGGAUGCUUCCUAUCUGUCUUUCAAAAGGCUGAAAGCCAUGAGGGAAUGAAGAAUUGUUUUUGUUUGAUUUGAUAUAUCUGUGUUGCAUUUGGGGCCAUAUUGGAAAGUAUAUACAGCUGAGUGUGAUUAUCUUUGCUGGGAAUGUUAUGUUUACCCUUUUUAUGAGUGGGAAACUUCUUUCAUGAAUAGGAAACACUUCCCUUCCACUAUUAAGGUUGCGUUUUGGUGAGGACUCGAAGAGGUGUAUCCCUUUGGUGAUCAUAAACUCAUUGCUCGAUUCACAUUUACUUGAUCCGAAGGAGUCUAGCCUCACUCGAUAUGUCAUUGGCUUGUUAAGUAACUCAAUAGGUCCAUAUAUUUUGUUCUUUUAUUUGGUAUUGACGAAUACUUCAACAAAAUAGAAGAUUUAGAAAUGAAAAUCUUUUUAGUACAAGUACUACAUCAUUAAAAAAAAAAAAUGGAACUCUUGUUGCAGAUACAAGGAUAAAUACUCCACACCAGAACCGAAGGCUCCCACAAAUGCUGAAUGCUCCAUUGAUACUUGAAUAAAGGGCUAGGCUUGUAGGUUAUGAGUUGCUCCAUUAUGAAUAAUAGAUUGCAAUUGCAGAUUAAUCAAGUGGGGACUAGUAGCAAUUUCCUAAACACACACACAUAAAACGCAUCUGCUGCUGAUAUUUCUGGGUACUAUUUCACUGAUAUCUGUAGGUCCCAAAUGGAGCAUCAUCAUGAACAUAGUGACCCUUCAUUUUUGGGGUGGGGCGGUGGAAUUGGGGCAUGAGUUUCAUGGCAAAGGGUGUCAGAAGGCUCCACUCAUACACAUGCCUUCUUAGGGUUCUUAGGCUAGUCUGGCACAUACCACCAUUGCAUUGUAUUCUAGCCUGAACUAGUAACCAAUCGUUCCAGAAUAUUGAAUAUGAAUAUGAAAUUAUGAACAUGUUAUACAGUAGAAUGUGUAAGUAUUUUUCUUUUCUUUCUCAGAUGCCAAAAGACCCACUCUUAACUGCUCCCUGGUCGUAAAGCUAUAAAGAUUAUUGUACAUACAAAGGCUGGUGGAUGAUGCACUGGGACAGAGUCACAGACUCAUCAAGCUCUCAGGUACAAGAAGAAAACCAACAUGAUCCGUCAAAGUAGAUGGCUAGGACUGGUUCUGUCUAUUAUUGUUUUCCAUUUUAGUACUUCCAUUUAAUCUUAUGUUGAAUCCAGUUCUGCUUCACCCAGUAAUUAUAAGCUUUCAGUUUAGUCUAGAGCAGAAUCAUUGUCUAUGUGGGAUUUAGGGAUUAACCUAACUUUUAUUUUCAGGCUGUUAUUUUAUUAAGAUGGUUGAUGAUACAUGUUGUGUUGUGAAUAUGUAAAUACACAUUCCAUCUUUGCAGGAAUGCAGUAUAGGAUGCUCUGAGAUCUUUGAGGACCACACUUUACAUCUACAUCAUACAGAUAGGUAAUGUUGGUUUAUGCAAUAAAACAACAUCUCACUUCUUUUAAGGGAAAAUGACCUAAAGGGUGGGUGAAAAAAGUAAAAAAGAAAAAUGUUGGACAUAACCAUUUGGAGAGCAGAGGGAACAAAAGUUACUUUCACCUUGGUAGGAGACUAGGAUGGCAUAUCAUUAACCAGUGUUUGGUAUAAAAUGUUAUAUGGGAUUGUCUUAAGAAAUUUCCUUUUCAUGCUUAGUCCAUCAUCCCUAAUGUUAAUUUGAUGCAACACAUAGCAAACCAGCUGAACCCAAUUAGUAUUCCAUCACCCUAUUGCCCCAUCCAAGGGCACAGGCUCCUUGACCCCAAGGAUUGGAGUGUUAGUGCCUCAUAAAGCAUUAGCAUGAGUUGGAACUCUACAACUCAUUUUUAUGGUCACCUUAUAGCUGGUUUUUAAUCAAUGAUGCACAUAACUUUGCUAACACAAGGAGCCCAGUGAGUUUUGACUGUUUGGAGCUCAAAAAUGACCAGGAUGAAUUAGCAGAAGAAUGAAGAGGGAAGUUUCUAUAGACUUUGAGGAUUUGAUCAACAUCGAAACCCCAAAGCUUUGCAAAAUUUGAAAGCAUAUACAGUCACCCCUAAACACCCUAUCCUAUCGAAGAAGGGGGUAAUUUGCCAUGGCCCAUCCAACAAAAUAUGGUAUCCAACUAAAUUUUGGUAUCAUAUUUCGUAUAUGAAUAAGUCAUCUCCCCCUUAUCAUCUAAGAUUUGAGCGGUCAGCCGCUCAUAGUUGGUUUGCUUAUGUUCUGCUAAAAAGAAAAAUUACAAUGUUGCAAUAAUUUUAUUUUUCUUUUUCAUUUUAAUUCUUUUAAGAUGGGUGUAGUGGUCAGACUUUAAUAAAUUGUACUUGUCAGAAAUGGUUUUUAUAUCUGACCAGGUGAAAGAGGCCUAACAGUAAGUAACUCCGGCCCAAACGUCUGUACAAAUUUUCAAGCCCCUUAAUUGCAACGCCAAAAAACUACAUUUGGAAUUGCAAACUUACCUAUACAAGGCCCAUACAAUCUGUAAUCGUCUUCGUUUUCUCACGCUCACUCUUUUUGGCGGCAAAGUUAAUUCUUUCUACAUGGUUGACACUUGACACAAUUGAUCAGCUUAGUCCAAGAGUCAGGCACAUUAUAUUCUCUCAUUACCCAGAAAACAACACAGCCAUAAGGAUCCCCCCAAUGGCCGCACACACACAGGCAUCCCUCAGAAACACCAACAUGGCCGAAGCGUACACCAUGUUGGUCAAAAUCAGGGCAGACACAUUGUUUUAAACUCCUCCUGUGCUAAAUCGAAAGCAAGGAUUUCAUCAGGGUAUGAGUUUAGCCAAAGAAGUACCUCAUUCAAAAGAGUGCCCUGAUUACAGUAAGAGGGCCUGACUGUAAUGGCUAGAGUGUGGGAUUGUUUUCCAAACGUGAGCUCUCAAGGAGAAUAUCUCCAUCUCUUCUAUCCGUUCAGCCCUGUCAAAUGAGGUUGCGAAAACCUUGCUGAGACAACACGUGGGCUUGUUAAUUUCUUGAAGAAUCCAAGCGAUGGGUUCCAGAUAUAAUAGAAUUUCCAAUCAACAGAUACAAGGAGCCCAGUAAGUGGACAUAAUCGCCCGGUAAAGGGAGAGUGAGCUUUCGAGCGGAGGAAGGGUUUCCAAACGACGGCGUAUCAGCAUCAACACGGGCAGUCUGGAGAAGAUGUCGAGUACAAUCUCUUCGGUAGGUCUUGUGUUUCCGCCAUUGCAAUGUGAGAGCAAGACCAGCCUGCGCAGAGAAGAGUGAAUCAAACUAGAGAUGAGAAGAGAGUCGAAGACCCAAGAGUCAUAUAUGUUUGUUUUUAAAGGUGGACCGACCAGCCUGCGCAGGCCCAACGCGCAUAGGUUUCGCCUAGCCCGCCUAGGCGACCCACAAUAGAAAGUUAGUGUCGUAAAGUAACGCAACAUGUCGUUCAAUUCACUUCUGACCUUUUGAUAUGGAGCUCUAGUCUGCAUUUUGUACAAGUCUCCAUCCCCAUUCUCCGAAUGCUCUUCUUGUUAAUCGAGUCAGUUCUCAGGCGAUUACAUUAGCUAACCAUGUGAUUCUCCUUAACAAAGAAAAACUAUAGAGUAAGCCUAACCUUAGUCGAAUGUCAGUUUCAUGUUUGCUUCAGCUUACAGAUUUUAAAAGUUACAAAACAAGCAAUUAGAACUUGAAUGCACAGAACAACCAGUGAUUUCAGGCUCGUCACUGGCAUUCUCUUUCGUAUCGAAAAACUGAAUCCUGUCAUUAUUGUCAAACACAGUUGAUUAACAGAAUCCUGCUUUAUAAAGCUUAUUUGACAAGCAAGAGUUCCAGUUACACCAACACAUAAUACAAUCAUACAUUUCUCUUCGCACAACAUAAAGCGUUAAUCAAACAAAAUGAAUAUAACUUGGGCACAACUUAUCAUUGUCAAGCUAGACUUGGAACAAUAUAAAUCCGUCCGAGGUCUCAGCCAUCGGACAUAGAUACAUUAGCGCUGCUACAGAUCUUACUGAAAUUUUGACAAAACCUCAUCAAGUCAUUGUAACUAAAUGUGCAACCUUUUCAUCAGGUCCACACCACUACUAGAAUGAAGCCUUCGUAUAUCCCGGAACCCCUACAAAAUCCAAGAAAUAACAGAUUCAAUAAUCAGUCAAAGAAUCCAUUAAAACCAAUUACUAGGUACUCACAUACAAGUUUCAAGGAUCCAACAAUGAAAUUCAGUUUUCAGUAGUCUCUAGGCUUAACCAAAACCCUCAAAUAAAUUCCAUAAGAUUGACUGUUUAGAUCAAUGCAGCAAAGUAUUAAGAAGAAUUUCUGAAGCAUUCACCAGAAAAGUAAGUGACUAACCAUGGAUCAAUAGAAUGCAAAACAUUCCUUCAAUUUCUGCUUUGUGACGCCUUGUGAGCGGUUUCAAGUAUCGGGACCUGCUCUGUCUCUUUUACCGACUGAUAACCACUGAUCCAAAGUAGACUCUCUUCAUAUUCAAUCAAAGAACACUGACGCCCCUCAAGUAUAUAACGCCAACGCUUGUUGUCUUCUUUAUGAUCAAUCCUUAACAACUCGUACCCCCCUGCAGUCCAAUUCCUGGAAACUAUACUACUUUCCAAAACCAAGACUUCUGUCGGCAUCAAGGCCUUUAGCUCAGAUAACUCUAACCUAAACUGCAUAGUCCAUGAGUCACUCACCUCAUAUUCUUUCAUGACCCACAAUUCCAUAUAGUCCCAAGCACCCUUGGGAAAACGCGACACACAAAGGCAACCUGCACACACCCCAAUAUGGCAGAAAUAACUAUUACUAUCAUCAUUAGGGAGCUGCACUGUCCGGAACUCCUCCUCUGUCAAGCGAAAACAAACCAAUUCAUCCUCGGAGGAUAGCCAAUGAAGUGCAUCGUUGGAAAGAAUCCCCAGUCCAUCGAGCUCAAAAUUGGAGCCAGGGGAUUCAAUCCUCUUCCAAAUGUGAGUUCUGAGUGAGAACAUCUCGACCUCAUACUCCCACUCACCGACAUCAUCACUAUAGUGACAGGAGACUUCCAAAACUCUGUAGUCAUCACAAAAAUAGGCCGCGCCAUAAGAGCGUAGGAUAUAUCUAUCUGAGGAAAAACCUGGGUCAGGUAAUUGUUUGAGGAAUCCAAGUGAUGGGUUCCAGAUAUAGAACAAUCUCUGAUGACAAGUUAGAAAUACCAGACCACUGCAGGAGCCCAGAAACUUGACAUGAUGAUGGAUUGGUUGCUGCAGCGAAGGGAGAGUGAGGUUUCUAACGGAGGCUCCAAACGACGGCGUAUCAGCCAAGGGUAGGGAUUGGAGUUGAGGGGCGUCGGUGGAGACGAGGAGCUGCUUUGAGUUGAGAUUGGGCGAAUUUGGGAUCGGAGAGUAUAAUGAAAUGCAGGCGUUUCGAAACGGAGGUGAACCGGAUUAAGGAUUUCACGGGCAAUCUGGAGAAGAUGUUAGAGUAUUAUUUCUUCCGGUAGGUCUUGUGUUUCCGCCAUUGCGGCGGUUAAAGCUGAGCGGAAGAGAGUGAGAGACUGGAUAUUCCUUCCUCACCUUUUCAUUAAUUUAUCCCUCUAAUUUUUUUUAUCAUGUAAAUUACAACUGCGUGUGAGUUGAACUCACAACCUCACAUUUACUAAAUAUGAGACCAUGUCAUUAGACUAAAUAGUACUGACUACUGAGCAUCCUUUUAAAAAAGAAAAGAGAGGAAAAACGUCAUCAAAUUGAUAAUUGUUUUGUUUUUUAUGAAAAAUCUUUGACACAGUGUAAACUAAGAGAGUCAAAAUAAUAAACCCGGAGAGUAGCCGAAGGAAGAGUCCAACCAAUAUCCUGCAUCCAUGAAAUGACCAAGAGAUCCUAAAGCAUUAGCCACAAAAUUAACCUCCCUCCAAAUAUGAGUGAACUCAAUAUGCUGGAACUGGGCAACCAUAAUCUUGAUAUUAGAGGUGGACAUAAAAAACCGUAAUCUUGAACCCGUCCCGGUCCUGUCCUGAAAUUUGACGGGAUGAGACGAGAUUUAAAUCUUAAAACGUCAGGUUCGUCCUGUCCCAUUUGAAUAAAACGGGAUGAGACACGGAACUGAUAAUUCAAAUCCCGUUUAAGCCCAUCUCGUCCUGAUUAUUUUAUUAAUCAAUUUUUAUUGAUUAAAAUGUCAUUUAAGUCUUUCAUUUUGAGUAUUUAGAUCUCAGCCCUUUCUUUCUUUAGCUUAAUAAGGAUAUACUAAACAUGAAAGUUAGUGAAUUCUGGACUCUGGAGUCCAACGUCAUCAGAGACAUAAUCCCAUAACAUCCAUUUUCAAAUGUGGUAAGCUUGGAUUAAGCUUGGAUUUUAGAAAAGAAAAGAGAGGAAAAACGUCAUCAAAUUGAUAAUUGUUUUGUUUUUUUAUGAAAAGUCUUUGACACAGUGUAAACUAAGAGAGUCAAAAUAAUAAGCCUGAAGAGUAGCCGAAGGAAGAGUCCAACCAAUAUCAUGCAUCCAUGAAAUGACCAAGAGAUGCUAAAGCAUUAACUACAAAAUUAGCCUCCCUCCAAAUAUGCUGGAACUGGGCAACCAUAAUCUUGAUAUUAGAGGUGAGCAUAAAAAACCGUAAUCUUGAACCCGUCUUGGUCCUGUCCUGAAAUUUGACGGGAUGAGACGAGAUUUAAAUCUUAAAACGUCAGGCCCGUCCCGUCCUAUUUGAGUAAAACAGGACGAGACAUGGAACUGAUAAUUCAAAUCCCGUUUAGGCCCAUCUCGUCCUGAUUAUUUUAUUAAUCAAUUUUUAUUAAUUAAAAUGUCAUUUGAGUCUUUCAUUUUGAGUAUUUAAAUCUCAGCCCUUUUUUUCUUGGGCCAAUUACAUAUAAGUCCACUUUGAGACAUUUUUUCCCACAUAGAUCCACCCCAACAUUUUUACCCACAUAAGUCCACCCAAGUCUAAAUAAAGUUUUGUAUUAAGUAUUAAAGUUCAACAUAAUUACAGACUGCCAUCCAACAAAAAAAAUUAGAUUUUCUCCUUUAUAUUUACAAGAAUGCCACUAGUAUAAAAAGUUAACAACCACUCUCAUUUCGGAACAGUCUCCGGCGGACCUCCGGCGAGAUUUCCAGCGGACCUCCGGCGAGGUUUCCGGCCGACCUCCGGCGAGAUUUCCGACUGACCUCCGGCGAGGUUUCCGGCCGACCUCCGACGAUGACAAAAAUUACUACUACCAGCUAAAAAAGACUACUACCACCAGCUAUAAAAGCUACUACCACCGCCUACAAAAGCUACUACAAAAGUUUCCGGCCGACCUCCGACGAGAUUUCCGACCAACCUCCGGCGAGGUUUCCGGCCGACCUCCGACGAUCACAAAAAUUACUACUACAAGCUAAAAAAGCUACUACCACCAGCUAUAAAAGCUACUACCACCGCCUACAAAAGCUACUACUGUGAGGUUUCUGAUGAAAACAAAAACUACUACCACCAGCCACAAAAACUACUACCACAAGCUACAAAAGCUACUACCACCGCCUACAAAAGCUACUACUGUGAGGUUUUCGACGAACACAAAAACUACUNNNNNNNNNNNNNNNNNNNNNNNNNNNNNNNNNNNNNNNNNNNNNNNNNNNNNNNNNNNNNNNNNNNNNNNNNNNNNNNNNNNNNNNNNNNNNNNNNNNNNNNNNNNNNNNNNNNNNNNNNNNNNNNNNNNNNNNNNNNNNNNNNNNNNNNNNNNNNNNNNNNNNNNNNNNNNNNNNNNNNNNNNNNNNNNNNNNNNNNNNNNNNNNNNNNNNNNNNNNNNNNNNNNNNNNNNNNNNNNNNNNNNNNNNNNNNNNNNNNNNNNNNNNNNNNNNNNNNNNNNNNNNNNNNNNNNNNNNNNNNNNNNNNNNNNNNNNNNNNNNNNNNNNNNNNNNNNNNNNNNNNNNNNNNNNNNNNNNNNNNNNNNNNNNNNNNNNNNUACUACCACCAGCCACAAAAGCUACUACCACCAUCUACAAAAACUAUUACCACCGCCUACAAAAGCUACUACGUCCAUUGAUUCAUCAAAUUCCACAACUAAAUUAGCAGUCAGUGAUGCGUGAUCAAGAUUGAACAAGAAUAGAAAUGAAUCGGAAUACUCACAAAACCAUAGCCCUUGGAUCGGCCAGUGUCCUUGUCAGAAAUGACAACCGCCUCAAGGCGGUGGAUCCUCGAUAGAUCUGCACCUCACCGACGAAUCACCUUCGUCGUCACCGUCUCGAACUCAUAGGAGAAGGUGCGGAGAAGAAGAUGACGAGGCUGAUCGGAGAAGGUGCGGCCAGUGAUGACGGGGCUGAUCAGAGGAUCGGAAAAGGUAGAGGUAGGUCCACACACACUGGGGAGAUCUACUAAGGCGCAUAAAUCUCUGCUUCCAACGGCGGCGGGCGCCGAACAAGUGGUGGAUGACGUCGUCGGAGUUGGUUGGACCUUGUAGAUCCGGCUGCGCGUUGAGGAGAUGCAGUCGAGGUCGAAGCGGAGGUCGUCGAGGANNNNNNNNNNNNNNNNNNNNGAUUUAGCCUUAAAAGUGGACUUAUAUGAGUAAAACUGUUAUGGUGGACUUAUGUAGGAGAAAAUGUUCAGAAUGUGACUUAUAUGAAAUUUUCUAUUCUUUCUUUAGCUUAAUAAGGAUAUACUAAACAUGAAAGUCAAUGAAUUCUGGACUCUGGAGUUCAACGUCACCAGAGACAUAAUCCCAUAACAUCCAUUUUCAAAUGUGGGAAGCUUGGAUUGAAGGUUGAAAUCUCCUUGCUGAAUCAACUUGAAUAGUACGAGCUAGCUAGCUACUUGGAAAUUUAACAAAUAUAACCACAAUACCAAAAGCUUGGAAAUUACCAUCUGUGUUAAAUAUAGUUGUACAUACUGCUGCAUAUUGGAUUUACACAGUUAUGUGUUAGACUUGUGGUUCCAAAAGAGAUGAGCACCAACUAGCACAGUAAGAAAAAUGAGCCAAGCUUUAGUUUAUACACCCUCUGUGGUACAGAGAAAUUUGUUACAAGAAUACAAGUAUUUGUUUAUACUUAUUAGAGUAGAGAGCAGUAUAAUUAAAACUAUAAACCGUUUCUUUUGCUUAUAAGUAGGUUUUCAACAUUUUUAUCUAGGAUUAGGCCCGUCCUGUUCCGGCCGGGAUUAAGCCUGGUUGGGACGAAAUUCGUCCCAUCCUAAUUUUAAUGUCUGGAAUAAGCCGCGAGAUUAGCUCAAUCCCGUCCCACCUCAUCCAUGCCCAACCCUGCUUGAUAUCAUAAACUAAAGUUUUGAUUCUUCAUGAGGAGGGUUGCUAUUUUACUGUUGAUGCAAUCAAUUAAAUCUUUGAGUCUCUCUCAACCUUGAUCUUUAAAUGGUUAUGCAGCAAGGCUCUAAGGCCGAAAGCUUCAAUAACUAGAACAUUAGAAUGUCCACGAUGUUUUUUAGAAACUUGCAGAUGUUUGAGUGUCCCAUCAAAAUUUAAUUUAAUGAAAUCAUGUGGUGGUGGUUUCCGACGUAUAAUAGUUGAGCAACGAAUUAAUAACUGUUGUUCUUUACUCACAUUAUUUUCUUUUGAGAAUAAAUACCGCAUGCUCGGAGGCUCAAUCUAACCCAAAAUUCUUGUUAUUAGAAAUAUUUGUGCUACGAAUCAAUCAGGGGAUCAUGAUGCCUAAAUGGCGCCAUUUAGAAUCUUUGUAAAUGCCUAAACAUUUGCAAAUAUUUGUACUUCAACGACAUAAAAUAUAUUAAUUAUAAUUGCACCAACACAUAACACAAUAAUCUCACUCGUCUUCGUACAAUAUAAAACAUCAAUCAAACAAGAGAAAUAUAACAUUGUCCCAACUUAUCAUUGUCGUAACAUAAAACAAAAAAGCAAAUACCAGUCUCAGACUCAGCCAUUGAACAUAGAUACAUUAGCUGGCUGCUAAGGAUACUAAACUGAAAUGUUAAGAAAUCUCAGAAUCAAUGCAUCCUUUUCAUCAGGUCUACACAACUCCAUAGUGAAGCCAUCAAAUUUGUACACCGAAACCCCUACAAAAUCCAAGAGAUAACACAAAUCAAUGAUCAGUCAUAGAAACCAUCAAGGAAGAACUCUGCUUUAGGAGCAGUGCAACUGAGAUACAUUACGAAAUAAGAAUAUAUAUAAAUCAAAUAGUUAAAAAAUCAAUUCCCUACAUACGAAAUUAAGAACGACUGAAGCUGCAUUAAGACCAUUGCCUGGACAGAAAUAUCAAGAACAUGUAGCAGACAGCAAAUAAUUGCAUGAAUCUUCCAAGCUCUUCGCAAUCACGCCAAAAAAAAAACUGCUUGGAAACUAAACCAGCAUUAUCAUGUGUAAAUGACUUAUGUUCCAUCAAUUAUCUAGGAUAUACCAAGUAGCCACAUCACAAAGGCAAAUGUAUCCCCAAGAAAUGAUAUUUUUCUUCUUUCCAGAUAAAUGUGAAAACUCAAAAACUCUUCCAGAAUAUCAGUUCCACCCUGAAUGCGAAAUUCAGCAGAUAAAUAAUCUUCAAAAGGAAAGACCAUAACGAAUGCCACCUAUUAAGUAUAAUAGAUAGAGGUAAAACCAUCAUGAAUAUUCAGUUAUAACGAAGCAAAGAUAUCUAGUACCUAGUCCAAUGAAAUGGGAACACCAAAGAUACUUGUACCUUAUAUGCUUUCUAAGUGUCAACUAACAAUUGUAAAUUGAUCUAUUAGAUAGUCGACUCUCUCAUCUCUAGCAACCACACAUAAACCAAUCCUCCAACCAAUUCUUAAGAUUAACUGUAAUCAUUGUGGAGUGAUGAGUGAAAUAAUCUAGGCAGCUAUUCAAGCAUUAAGCAUCCAUAUAUGGCAUAAGAGAAGGGUACAAGGAACUCAAACAGGUUCACAACCACUUUCGACUUCUAAAUGCAUGGUAUAAGAUAAGUAGAAAAUAAACAAACAGUUUUCAAAUGCAUCAACAGAGUCAAAAAUGUGGAGAAAGCGACUAACCAUCGAUCAUUUAAAUAUAAAGAGCAACCAUUCCUUCCAUUUCAGCUUUGUGAGGCCUUGUGAUGGGUUUCAAGUACCUGCUCUGUAUGUUCUACUGGAUGAUAACAACUGAUCCAAAGUAGACUCUCUUCAUAUUCAACCAUACACAUCAAAAUCCCCUUAAGCAUAUACUGGUCAACCUUCCGGUUUUCUUUAUGAUCAAUCCUUAUCAACUGGCACCCCUCGACACUCCAAUUCACAGCAAAUGUACUACUUUCCACAACCAAUAAUUUCCUCCCAAACGCGCGCCACACAGGCGGAUCAGGUACCUUUAAGCAAAAGAGCAUAGUCCACGAGUCACUCACACCAUAUUCCCUCAUGACCCACAAAUCAACAGAGUCACAAACACCCUCCGCAUAACGCGACACAAACAGGCACCCUUCACACACCCCAAGACUGCGGAUACUCUUACCAUCAUUGUUGAAAUCGGGCAGCCACAUUCCCCGAAACUCCUUUGCUGCCAAGUCAAAACAAACUAUUUCUUGCUCGUCGUCGUAAAAAUUUAGCCAAUGAAGGGCAUCGUUCACAAGAGUCCCCUGACAAUAGGGUUCAACAUUGAAGCCAACAGAAGACUCGAUCCUCUCCCAAGUGUGAGUUCUCAAUGAGAACAUCUCGACUAUACUAGACAUGUCCUCAGUGAUAUCUAGCUGUAACUCCGUAAAGUCGUAGGAGGCUACCAACACUGUGUAGUCAUCGGUGGCGGAUAAAUAGCCCACACCAUAAAAGACAUUUGACUCUGACUCUCUAUUUGAUAAGGAAACAUAUGAUUCGGGUAAUUUCUUGACGAAUCCAAGUGAUGGGUUCCAGACAUAAUAGAAUUUCUUAUCAACAGAUAGAAAUACCAGACCAUUGCAGGAGCCCAGUAAUUGGACAUAACCGCCCGGUUGGUGCAGGAAAGGGAGAGUGAGCUUUCUAACGGAGUAAGGGUCUCCAAACGACGGCGUAUCAGCAUCCAGGGGUAGCGAUUCCAGUUGUGGGGCGUCGGUGGAGACCAGGAGUCUGCGGCUGAGACGAGGAGCUGCUUUGAGUUGUGAUUGGGCGAAUUUGGGAUCGGAGAGUAUAAUGAAAUGCAGACGUUUAGAAACGGAGGUGAAUCGGAUCAAGGACUUGACGGGGAGUCUGGAAAAGAUGUUUAGUAUGAUCUCUUCGGGUAGGUCUUCUGUUUCCGCCAUUGCAACGGUUAGAGAUGAGCGGACGAGAGUGAGAGAGACUAUGAGAGACUGACUCAACUAUAAGUCCGAUGUGCCCCUUCCUCGCCUUUUGUUGCUCUGUCCCAGACUCCCAAUCCCAUUUGGUCUAAUGCUAUGAGUCAGGAUAAGUGGAAGAUCAACAAAAAAUAUUAUCAAACAUGGUAAAUUAACAGAAUAAAAUUGAUCAAUCAUAGAGCUUACUAGCAAGCAAGUCAAGAGGUUCCAAAUUUAACACUUUAACGGCAUGAAAUGCAUAAAUCAUAGUCGCAUUAACGCAUAACAAAAUAAUCUACAAUCCUCUUCGCACAAUAUAAAAUGUCAAUCAAACAAGAGAAACAUAACAAUGUCACAACUUAUCAUUGUCGUAACCUAAAACAAAAGAACAAAUUUCAGUCUCAGCCAUUGAACAUAGAUACAUUAGCUGGCUGCUAAGGAUCCUAAACUGAAAUUUUGAGAAAUCUCAGAACCAAUGCAUCCUUUCCAUCAGGUCCACACCACUACAUAAUGAAGCCACCAAUUUGUACACCUGGAAACCCCUACAAAAUCCAAGAAAUAACACAAAUCAAUUAUCAGUCAUAGAAACCAAUUAGUCCAUGACCAUCAAGGAAGAACUCUGUCUUUAGGAGCAGUGCACCUGAGAUAAAUUUACAAAAAAAAAAAAAAAAUUACAAAUAUUUAAACAAUUAAUUCCCUUACAUAACAACAUAACAUAAUAAAUUAAUACGAAUGACUGAAGCUGCAUGAAGACCAGAGCAAGAACAGAAAUAUCAAGAAACAUGAAGGUGGCAGCAAAUAGUUGCACGAAAUCUUCCAACCUCUUCACAAUCACCCAGAUAUAAAAGAAAAUUAAAAAAACUUCUGCUUUGGAAACUAAGCAUCAUCAUGAGUAAAUUGGCUUAUGUUCCAUAUACUAUCUAGGCUCUACCAAUCAAAUUUAUGCCCUAGAAAUGAUUCUUUCUUCUUUUCAGAUAAAUGUGAAAACUCAAAAACUCCCCAAGAACAAAUCGUUCAUGCCUCUUCCAUUCUUCCUAUAUAUCAGUUCACCCUAAAUGCGAAAUUCAACAAAUAAAUAAUCUUCAAAAGGUAAGACCAUAAUGAAUAGAGAAAAAGCCAUCACAAAUACUCAGUUAUAAAGAAGCAAAGAUAUCUAGUACGUCCUCUAAGUGAAACGGGAACACCAAUCCUAUGCUGAUCGAGAGAGAUACUUGUACCUUAUAUAAUUAUAUGCCUUCUGAGUGUCAACUAACAACUGCACAUUGAUCUAUUAGAUAGUCGACUCACUCAUCUCUAGCGACCAGACAUAAACCAAUCCUAUUUCACUUAAAGUCAAUUACCUCUCGAUCAGCAUAGGAUUGGUGUUCCCAUUUCACUUAGAGUCGACUAUCUAAUUGGUACUUGUACCUUAUAUAGUUAUAUGCCUACUAAGUGUCAACCAACAAUUGUACAUUGAUCAAUUAAAUAGUCCACUCUCUCAUCUCUAGCAACCGACAUAAACCAAGACCUCCAAUCAAAUCUUAAGAUUAACUGUUUAAAUCAAUGCAGAGUGAUGAGCAAAAUAAACUGGCUUGCUAUUCAAGCAUUAAGCAUUCAUGUAUGGCAUAAGAGAAGGUUACAAGGAACUCAACAGGUUCACAACCACUUUCAAGACUUCUAAAUGCAUGGUAUAAGAUAAGCAGAAAACAUCCAAACAGUUUUAUUAUGCAUGAACACAGAGUCAAAAUGAGGAGAAAGUGACCAACCAUGGAUCAUUUGAAUCAAAUGAGCAAACAUUCCUUCCCUUUCAGCUUUGUGAGGCCUUGUGAUGGGUUUCGAGUAUUAGGACCUGCUCUGUCUCUUCUACUGGAUGAUUACCACUGAUCCCAAGUAGACUCUCUUCAUAUUCUACCAUAGAAAUCUGAUUCCCUCUAGCAUAUACUGGCCAACCUUCUGGCCUACUUUAUGAUCAAUCUUUGUCAACUCGAACCCCUCUUCAGUCAGUUUCGAAGCAACUGUACUACUUUCCACAACCAUUAAUUUUCUCGAAUUAUAGGGCCAGUUUAUUAUGCCCCACUCAGGCGGAUCAGAUAGUUUUGAACUAAAGAGCAUAGUCCACGAGUCACUCACACCAUAUUCCCUCAUGACCCAGAAAUCAACAGAAUAACAAACACCCAAAGGAUAACGCAAUACACAAAGGCACCCUUCAUACAAACCAAGAUAGCAGAACAUGUUACCAUCAUGACCGAAAUCAGGCAGCGGAAUUCUCCGGAACUCCUUUACAGCCAAGUCAAAACAAACUAUUUGCUUGUUUAGCCAAUGAAGAGCUUCGUUCAAAAGAGUCCCCUGAGAACUGACAAUGAAUCCAAUAUCGAAAGAGUCCCCUGCGGCUUCAAGCCUCUCCCAAAUGUGAGUUGUCAGCGAGAACAUCUCGACCUUUACCUUACAAUCAACAAGGUCCAAGUAGGCUAUAAAAAGUUUAUAGUCAUCAGUAGCGGAUAAAUAUCCCACACCACAAUAGACGAUUUCUAAGUUUCCAUGUAAUAUGGAAAAACCAGGGUCUGGUAAUUUCUUAAAGAAUCGAGUCGAUGGGUUCCAGACGUAAAAGAAGUCCGCGUAAAAGGUUAGAAAUACCAGACCAUUGCAGGAGCCCAGUAACAGCAGAUACUCGCCCUUCGGGGAAGGGAGAGUGAACUUUCUAACGGAGGAAGGGUCUCCAAACGACGGCGUAUCAGCAGCCAAGGGUAGGGAUGACAGUUGAGGGGCGUCGGUGUAGACGAGGAGUCUGCGGCUUUGGGUUCUCUGCCGAAGAGCUGCUUUGAGUUGAAAUUUGGCGAAUUUGGGAUCGGAGAGUAUGAUGAAGUGCAGACGUUUCGAAACGGAGGUGAAUCGGAUCAAGGACUUGACAGGGAGUCUGGAAAAGAUGUUUAGUAUGAUCUCUUCGGGAAGCUCUUGUGUUUCCGUCAUUGCGACGGUGAGAGCUGAGCGGACGAGAGUGAGACACUGACUCAGGUCACUCAACUAUGAGAUGCCCUUCCUCGUCCCUUUUUUUUUUUUGGAAUGACUUCCUCACCUAUUGUUUGCUUUGUCCAUUCUCCACCGCUAAGUUUAUGAAUUCUUUAUUUCAUCUUUAUUAUUUUAUGAAAUUUGUGUGAUUUAUUGAUUAUAAACUUGGGUUUUGUUUGAUAGGGUUAGAUCAUAAAUCAAUCUAGUUCGAUUCCUUAACCGUCACUUAUUUAACUGAAAUUUGUAUAACUAGUCUAUCCUAAAAACAAAACGGUUAAGACGACAAAAUAUGAUAAAAAAAUGUGUACAAUAAACUUUUAAUGAAAAAGUCUUUAUUAGUCCUCAACUUAAUAAAUUGUUUGAGCUUAUGUGAGGGUCAUUUUUUAGUUAAACAUUGACUAAGCCUAAAAUCAACUCAAAUCUGAUUAGUGGGAGGAUUUUGUAUGUGAUUCAAAACGAAAGAAACUUGAUAGUGUGAAGCACGGUGUGGCCAUGUGGGAGCUAAAAACGCAAUGCGGUGAGUCAAUUUGAGGGUAUGAGUUUAGAAGGGUGUUUUGGAGGAUGGCUGAUCUAGGAGUAUCUAUGUGUUCCUGCUUGACUGUUCUGCAAACUAGAAAAUAUUUGAAUACCGAACAAGCCAAUAUUGUCAAACACAGUAGAUUAACAGUAUAAAAUUGAUCAUUCAUAAAGCAUACUAGACAAGCAAGUUAAAAGGUUCAAGAUUUAAACACUUCAAUGACAUGAAAUAUAUAAAUCAUAGUCGCAUCAAGGUAUGAGAAAGAUAAUCUACACUCCUCUUCGCACAAUAUAAAACAUCAAUCAGACAAGAGAAACAUAACAUGACACAACUUAUCAUUGUCGUAACAUAAAACAAAAGAACAAAUAUCAGUCUCAGCCAUUGAAUAGCAUUAGCUGGAUGCUAAAGAUCCUAAACUGAAAUUUUGAGAAAUCUCAGAACCAAUGCAUCCUUUCCAUCAGGUCCACACCACUACAUAAUGAAGCCAACAAUUUGUACAUCUGGAAACCCCUACAAAAUCCAAGAAGAAACAUAAAUCAAUUAUCAGUCCUAGAAACCAAUUAGUCCAUGACCAUCAAGGAAUAACUCUGAAUUUAGGAGCAGGGCAACUGAGAUAAAUUACAAAAAAUAAAAAUUUCAAUUGUUUAAACAAUUAAUUCCCUUGCAAAACAACAUAACAAGAAUGACUGAAGCUGCGUGAAGACCAAAGCGAGAAGGGGAAAUAACAAGAAAAUGAAGUUGUCAGCAAAUAAUUGCAUGAAAUCUUCCAACCUCUUCGCAACCACCCAAAACUUCUGCUUGGAAACUAAACCGGCAUCAUCAUGAGUAAAUUGGCUUAUGUUCCAUAUACUAUCUAAGCUCUAUCUAUCAAAAAUAUCCCCUAGAAAUGAUUUUUUUUCUUCUUUUCAGAUAAAUGUCAGAACUCAAAAACUCUUCAAGAACAAACUGGUCAUGCAUCUUCCAAAAUAUCAGUUCACCCUGAAUGUGAAAUUCAACAGCUAAAUUAUCUUCAAAAGGUAAGAGCAAAACGAAUGCCACCUAUUAAGUCUAAGAACAUAACGAAUGCCACCUAUUAAGUAUAAUAGAUAGAGAACUCAAAAAAUCUUCAAGAACAAACUGGUCAUGCAUCUUCCAAAAUAUCAGUUCACCCUGAAUGCGAAAUUCAACAGCUAAAUAAUCUUCAAAAGGUAUGAACAAAACAAAUGCCACCUAUUAAGUAUAAUAGAAAACCAUCACAAAUUUAGUUAUGAAGAAGCUAAGUUAUCUAGUAGUACUCUAAGUCAAAUGGGAACACCAAUCCUAUGCUGAUCAAGAGAGAUACUUGUACCGUAUAUGCCUUCUAAGUGUCAUCUAACAAUUGUACAAUGAUCUGUUAGAGAGUCGACUCUCUCAUCUCUAGCAACCACACAUAAACCAAAACCUCCAAUCAAUUCUUAAGAUUAACAGUUUAGAUCAAUGCAGAGUGAUGACAAAAUAAAUUGGCCAGGUAUUCAAGCAUUGAGCAACCAUAUAUGGCACAAGAGAAGAGUAGACGGAACUCAACAGGUUCACAAAUACUUUCGACUUCUAAAUGCUUGGUAUUAGAUAAGCAGAAAACAAACAAACAGUUUUAUCAUGCAUGAAUCAGAGUCAAAAUGAGGAAAAAGUGACUAACCAUCGCAUACUAAGAGCAGAGAUUCCUUCGAUUUCAGCUUUGUGAGGCCUUGUGAUGGGUUUCGAGUAUCUGAACCUGCUCUUUCUCUUCUGCUGGAUGAUAACCACUGAUACCAAGUAGACUCUCUUCAUGUUCAACAAUAGAAACGUAACGCCCCUUAAUCAUAUAGUGGCCAACAUUCUGGUCUGCUUUAUGAUCAAUCCUCAUCAACUCGAACCCCUCGUCACUCCAAUUCACAGCAACUGUAUUACUUCCCACAACCAAUAAUCUUCUCGCAAAGCUAAGGCACUCAGGCGGAUUGGAUACCUUUAAGCUAUAGAGCAUAGUCCACGAGUCACUCACCCCAUAUUCCCUCAUAACCCACAAAUCAAUGGAGUCAAAAACACCCUCCGGAUGACGCGACACACACAGGCACCCUCCACACACCCCAAGUUUGCAGAAGCUCUUACCAUCAUUGUCGAAAUCAGGCAGCCACAUCCUCCGGAACUCCUUCACAGCCAAGUUAAAACAAAGUAUUUCAUGCUUGUCGUAGCUAUUUAGCCAAUGAAGUGUAUCGUUGAAUGGAGUCCCCUCAAACUGGAAUCCAAUGUUGGAGUAGGAACCGCAUUCAAUCUUUUCCCAGAUGUGAGUUCUCAAUGAGAACAUCUCAACCUCAUACGCCAUUACACGUAAGUCACAGCAGGCUACCAAAACUCUAUAGUCAUCACCGGCGGAUAAAUAGCCCACACCAUAGGCUAGACGUCCGUUUCGACCAUAGGAACAAAAACAUGGGUCUGGUAAUUUCUUGAAGAAUCCAGUCGAUGGGUUCCAGAUAUAAUAGAAAUCCACAUUCAAAGUUAAAAAUACCAGACCGUUGCAGGAGCCCAGAAACUUGUCAUGAUCGGACGGUUGCUGCAGGAAAGGGAGAGGGAGCUUUCUAACGGAGGAGGGGGCUCCAAACGACGGCGUAUCAGCAUCCAAGGGUAGGGAUUCCAGUUGAGGGGGGUCGGUGAAGACGAGGAGUCUGCGGCUUUGGGUUUUCUGCUGACGAGCUACUUUGAGUUGCGAUUGGGCGAAUGUGGGAUCGGUGAGUAUAAUGAAAUGCAUGCGUUUCGAAACGGAGGUGAAUCGGAUUAAGGAUUUCACGGGCAAUCUGGACAAGAUGUUGAGUAUUAUCUCUUCUGGUAGGUCUUCUCUUUCCGCCAUUGCGGCGGUGAGAGCUGAGCGGAAGAGAGUGAGAGACAAUGGCGGAGCUAGAAAUUUUGACGUAGGAGGGCCAAAAGAUAAGGCGAGUAUUUUUUACCCUUCGAAAAUCUCUAUUUUGAGACUCUGAAAACUACAACAUAAUUAUUCAUAAUAUACCAGCUAAAUAAAGUACGUGAUCAAAAUCAGUUGUGUAUAAUAUUUUUGGGAAAAUACCUUAAUACCUAAAUAUUUGAAAACUAAAGCUCAUUCUAAUUAGUGUCUUAUCUUUGUGCCCAUUCCAAUGAUUCUUGAGAAAAAGACGUUAUUACUUUGUGUUUAAUUAAACCCACACAAUUUUUAUAUAUAUAACUCUCUCUCUCUCUCUCUCUCUCACGUCUCCGGCCGUCUCUACUGCUCCUCCUGCGGCCACAUCCAAGACCAUGACAAUUAUGUCAACGUCUACGGCGGCGUCUCCAGCACCUCCGGCCAGGGCAUCAACUACGACGCAAUGACGCCUCUCUCUCUCUCUCUUCCUCCUGGACGAAGCCUUAGCGCCGACGCCGACACCGACGCAGCCUCGAUGCUUCAAAGACGCCAACGCUUCCCGAUUUUGGCAAACGCCUUCAAUCGGAGCUUUCACUCCUCCGCUCCUUGUCUCUACUCCGCCAACAGCACCGCUCAGGUCUCCGAAUCUUCAAUUUCUGAUUCAUUUUGAUCGGUUUUUUAGAUUGAUUUGUGAAACUAAAAUCGGGAGUGUGUGAAAUUGGGGCGGGGGAGUUCACUGAGAUGGCGUGGGAGGGCAAAAUUAGGGCAGUUGAGGCCGUCGGAGUUAGGAAGCAACAGGUGGUGGAAUCUGAGCACUUGAUGCAAGCGUUAUUAGAGCAGAAGGAUGGUUUGGCCAGGAGAAUCUUCACCAUGGCUGGUCUGGACAACACUAGUGUUCUCCAUUGUUUAUUUCAGACUAUUCAUUUUGCAAUUUCAAAUUCAUUUGUUUGUAAAUGAGGGAUUGAACAUUGUGUUGUUGUGCUUAUAGGUGAUGGGUGGCACCAGUGGACCUAUAAUAGGCUCGCAUCUGGGAGGUCUGUGGACAAUGCACGACGGCAGAAGAAACAAAUGAAUGAUGAUUUUCAGCAAUUGUUCACAAAUAUUUAUUACCCCCUAGUAAACUAAAUUAUUAGGGAUCAAUAACUUAAUUUUUUAUUUGUAUUUCUUCUUUUUUAUUACAUUAAGCUGAAACAAGUUGAUUAUUAGGAAUAAAUAGCUGAUUAUUAAGGGUCAGUAACUGAUUAUUGGAAGUCAGUAACCAAGUUAUUGGGGUCAAUAACUGAUUAUUAGGGGUCAGUAACUAAUUAUUAGAGGUCAGUAAUCAAGUUAUUGGGGUCAGUAACGGAUUGGGGGUCAGUAACUGAUUAUUAUGGGUCAGUAACUGAUUAUUAGGGGUCGGUAACCAAGUUAUUGGGGGUCAGUAACCAAGUUAUUGGGGGUCAGUAACUGAUUAUUAAGGGUCAGUAACCGAGAUACCGGCGACCGGGGAAAUCCAGCAAUCAAAGUCCCGCGGCCGGUGACCGGAGUCCGGUGAGGUUCCGGCCAAUUAUUUUCUCUCUUCCACUUUCUCUCUCUAUGCAUGUUUAAGGGGUAAGGGUAAAAUAGUCUUAAAAUAAUAUGGUUUAUUAAGACUUUAGUAAAGAUUUGUGCAUUUAGGCAUAAAAAAUGUUACUUUAUAUUGAAAUGGGCUAAUGAAAAAGAUUGUCGUUCGAAUGAGAAAUGAGAGAUUUAAAUUAGUACUAAAUGGACAUUUUCCCAAUAUUUUAUAUAUUUAUGAAUAAAAUACUUCGACAUUUCUUAAUUUAGAAGUUUUUGUAAUAUCAGUACCGGUUAAUAUAAAAAAAAAAAGUACCAAUUAGGUAAUAUUGUAUUUAUUAUUGCUAGUAAUAGGAAAUUUUUAUUACUAUUGUAAUAGCAGGAAACAAAAACUAGAAUUUUGCUUCGCACUUCAUGAGCCAAAACUAUGAAAUCAUUACCAUGUGGGGGGUGCCAUGAAGCAAAAACUAGAGCUUUUUCUUCCUAAACUCAACAAUCAUACUCAUAUUAUACAAUAAAGUAGUAAUCAUACCCAUAUAUGACACUCUUUGGCCCUAUACUACCUCCGCCUAUGAGACUAUGAGAUGCCCUCCCUAGUCUUUUGUUUGAUUUAUUCCAUUUUCUUUCUCGUUAAAAUUGAUAUGUCACCAUACGUUGUCUUUUUAGUUUUUACGUUCAUUUAAUUAAGUUUAUGUUGCUUUUUACAGAAAAUUAAUACCUUAAUCACAAACUUUCUAAUGAUCAAUCAGUAGAUUAACAGAAUAAACACAGAUCGAUCAUAAAACAUUAAAACUUACUAAACAAGCAAGUCAAGAGGUUUCAGAUUUAAACACUUCAACGACCUGAAAUAUAUAAAGUAUAGUCACACAACUCACACCAAGUCACCAACACAUAUUCUCAAAAAAAAAAAAAAAAAAAAAAAAGAAACUCACACCAACACAUAACAAUUAUCUACAUUCAUCUUCACACAAUAUAAAACGUCAAUCAGGCAAGAGAAAAUCAGUCGCAACUUAUCAUAAAAAAAACAAAAAAAACAAAGUAUGUCAGUCAGUCUCACUGUCUCAGCCAUUGAACAUAGAUACAUACAAAGGUUGCUGCUAAGGAUCCUAAACCGACAUUUUGAGAAAUCACAGAACCAAUGCAUCCUUUUCAUCAGGUCCACACCACUACCGGAAUGAAACAAAUAUAUAGAAUCCCUCGUAACCAGUUUAUCCAUGACCAUCGAGGAAGAAUUCUGCUUUAGGAGCAGUGCAACUAGAUAAAAUACAAAACAACAAACACUAGUGUUUCUUUAAGUACUUAAAAGAAAUUAAUUUUAGUUAGGGGAACUUUUUUAGUGAAGACUAAGUUGAGAACUUUUUGGUUUAUGGUUUAAAAGACUUAUUUUUCAAUCACAUUUUGACAUCUCAUCCGUUCAGUUUUUAGGUUUAUAUGAGUAGAUCAUUUAUACAAAUUUUCAGCCAAAUUGCUGUUCGUUAAGAUAAGAAACUAGAUCAAAUUAAUGGACGAACCAAAUCUGACACGACCCGCCCCAAAUUUCACCUUGAAACCCAGAGUAAGUCGUGCGUGGACCACCUCCAAGGAAAAUUUACCGAAAAAUCGGUGUAACCUCCCUUGAAAAUGGACAACCCUUCCUAAUAAUACCUGCAAACACUUCUGAAAAUUUAAAUCCAACCUUAAACUCCUGGAGCCUCCGUGCUCCCCAAAACACAACACCACCCAAAAUAUUUACUAAUCUAAACAAAUCUUAUAUCCAACCAUUAUUAGGUUCAGAGCAACUCUAACAGGAAGAAAUGAAACAUNNNNNNNNNNNNNNNNNNNNCCACCUCCAAGGAAAAUUUACCGAAAAAUCGGUGUAACCUCCCUUGAAAAUGGACAACCCUUCCUAAUAAUACCUGCAAACACUUCUGAAAAUUUAAAUCCAACCUUAAACUCCUGGAGCCUCCGUGCUCCCCAAAAACACAACACCACCCAAAAUAUUUACUAAUCUAAACAAAUCUUAUAUCCAACCAUUAUUAGGUUCAGAGCAACUCUAACAGGAAGAAAUGAAACAUAAUAAAUUAACAAGCGGAAGCUAUAUGAUGACUAUGCCUCAUCCCCCAUGUACGCCCGACCUCAACUAUGCAAUCCUGCAAACUGGGCAUUUUUAAAACGAAGAGCCCAGGGGAAAACAUUUGAAACACGUUAGAGUGAGUGGACAAAAAUAAAUUAACGAAUAAAAUAUUUAUGUUUCCCCAAAUCAAUUUCCAAGGAAAAUCGAAUGCAUGCUGCAAGCGAUAAAACUUUUAUCUCAUAAAUAUCGAGCCUCUCAGGCUCUAUAAUAUAUGUAUGUAUUUACACACGUCCAUACUCCUUAUAUAAAUUCAUGGGUCUAUAUAGGGCUACUACGCUCGCGUCCAACGCUCACGUCACGCCUUAAUGCGGUGCUACACUACGCCAUUAAUGUGGACAGACGGGUGUAUAAAUAUGUGUCCAUACCCCCUAUAUGAAUUAAACACUCAUAUAAGGCUACUACGCUCACGUCCAAUGCUCACGUCACACCAUAAUGCGGCUAUAUGCUACGCCAUUAAGGUGGACAGACACAUAUGGCUAGCUAGCAUUUAUAUACAUACUCUCCUCAAUAUACAUAUUUAUACUCACCGAAAAAUCCCAUUUUUCGGUAACUCUCCAAGAGAAAUAAAAGUGUCAAAUUAAAUGACGUCAAAACUCCAACAAUUUAAAUGUUCGACCAUGAACCAUAGCAUGCAUAUUAUUUAAAACAAAAGUCCACUCACAACUCUAGGCAUAAGCCCGACGAAAUCCAAAUCGUCACUUCAGAGAGGUUUCCUCGAACCCUGGCACAAAUAUAAAAUUAAUUUCCCAACUAAAACUCCAAUAUUUAAACAAAAUAGGCAAAAUUAACCGAGAGCCAUAACUACGCUCAUCAUUACCUAACUUCGAUAUUCUUAAAUCGAAACGAUCCGAACUUAAAUAUCAUACUCGGUAGCCGUAAUUACAACCUCCCCAAAAAUACGACUUAAAUCCUACGGCCGGAUUCUACAUUAAUUAACCACCAAAAAUACCACACUUCGGAAAUUCAUAAACCUAUCCAAAACUCAUCCAAAAAUUCCAAUAUUUCAUAUCAAAAUACUCCUCUUAAUAUUCCACAUUUAAAACCACAAAAAUCUCCUACACAGCGGCGGCUCCGCCGGCAGUGGCGGCCGGAGGCCGAUUCCGGCGACCUCCAAUUUCUACCAAAUUUUAUAAGAAUAAUCCUCUCAUCAUGCUCUACAACUUUUUUAACUAGCACAACACCCAAUUCCAAGCCUAACUAGGUCAAUCGAGCAAAAACAUCAUAAAAGCCCUAGAAAAUUCAAUUCCACAUUUCUCCUUACCUAGCUCAAGGGAGGGGAAGACCUUUGGAGGGGUUGUUACACGGGAGGAGAGCUCUCUUUUGAGCCAAGCAGCUCCGGCUAUGGCGGCCGGAGGAGGGAGUUCCGGCGACGGAGGGGUUAACACAGUCGGAACUUUCGGGGAAGAUAACUCCUUCAUGGCGGAGCUAGGGCGGCUCUCACCGGCCUAGAAUGGAAGCUGGGUUGGAGGCCGGUCGUUUGGGACCGGUGCGGCAGUCUCCGACGGCCGGACGGCUGCGGACGAGCGGCCGGAAGUUCCGGCUGCGAGAAAACUCGGGGAUGAGAUCGGGAGGGAGAGAAGAAGAGAGAGGGAAAAGAAAUGGGGUGUUUGGGCCUCACACCCACCCGGUCCAACCCCAUAUAUCCACCCACUCCAAAAUAAAACACCUCGAAAAAAUAAUACCCGAAUAAAAAUUACCUUUUACUAGCUAAAAUUUACCAUUUUUACCGUCGUCGUAUUUUCCUCCUACGAAUAAUCCUCCGCACAUAAUCAUCCCCGAAACCCCUCUAGGGACCAAUUAAACUAUUACCUCAAUGACAGAGACGGUAAAAUUCUUAUUAUAAUCAAGCUAGUAAAUAAAGUAAAAAUUUAAGGGUCGGGAUGUGACAAAAUCUGUCAAAUAUGAAUCGUUCAAGUUCAUAAUUAAUAAAUUACACUUACGAAUGCAUUAACAAUUUUCAAUAUAGCUGAAAAUUUGGAGAAAUGAUCUACUUAUAAAUACCUAUAAACUAAACAGUUAAGAUGUAGAUAUAAGAUCGAAAGGUGGGAUAAACCGAAAAGUCCUCAACAAGUCCUAAACUUAAGGGUUCUCACUAGAAUGGCUCCCUUUUAGUUAGUACAUAAGUUUUAAAGAUAUACAAUCAUCAGCAUUCUUUUUGCUGACCCGAGAGAGAUACUGCUUAGGGGUGGGCAUGGGACGGGAUUGAGGUCAUCCCACGUCCCAUUCCGGUUGUUACACAUGGGACGGGAUCGGGACGGGCCUUACAUUUUUCAGACUCGAUCCCGCCGGGCCUAAUCCCGGAUGGGACGGGACGGGAUCGGGAUGGGACGGGCCCAAUCCCGGCCAUCCUGCAUCAGUAUCUUUUCUUCUAGAAAUCGUACAGUUACAUUUGAAAUUUCAUCUAGGUGUCUUCAUAAGAUUUGUAGUAGACAUCUUAAUGUCCAUUCCAGAAUUUGAAUCACUUGAAAAUGAUUUUCUCGAUUAAGUUAUGAUUUUUUUAAGUUUAGGGUCUGCAUCUAUAAAUUCUGCAUGUCAAUUCUGUGAUUCUGAACCAGUUGGCUUCUUUUCAAAAACUGUACAAAUUGGUUGGUUAUGUGAGUUUAGUGUUCUCAUGAAAGUUACAUAAGACAUCCUAAAGAUUAUUUGAGAGUUGGAAUCUCUCAAAAAUAAGUUUUCUACAAUUAGUUAUGAAUUUUGAAAGUUAGACGGGACGAGCCCAAUCCCAACCAUCCUGCAUCAGUUUUCGUUUCUUCUGGAAAUCAUACAGUUGCAUUUGAAACUUCAUCUUGGUGUCUUCAUAAGAUUUGUAGUAGACAUCUUAAGGUUCAUUCCAGAAUUUGAAUCACGUGAAAACUAUUUUUCUAGAUUAAGUUAUGGUUUCUUAAAGUUUAGGGUCUAUAUCAGUAAAUUCUGAGAUUUGAACCAGUUGGCUUCUUUUCGAAAACUGUACAAAUUGGUUCGUUAUAUGAGUUUAGUGUCUUCAUGAAAGUUAUAGAUGACAUCUUAAAGAUCAUUUGAGAGUUGGGAUCUCUCAAAAAUAAUUUUUCUACAAUUAGUUAUGAAUUUUAAAAGUUAGACGGGACGAGACGGGCCUGACAGGACUCAAAAUUUCAAUCCCGCGUCCCGUCCCAUUGUUUCUCUAAUGGGACGGGACGGGACGGGACCGGUGUUUUUAGUUUCAAAUCCCGCCGGGAUCGGGACGGGACCGGGAUUUACGGGAUUUGUGCCCAGCCCUAAUACUGCUUGUAGUCGUCCCUUAUAUAUGCCUUCACUAAGUGACUUAGCCUUCUCUAAGUGUCGUUAACAAUUACUUAGGUCUAUCAGAUAGUCGACUCCCUCAUCUCUAGCAACCACAGAUAAACCAAGACCUCCCACCAAUCCCAUAAGAUUCAUUGUUUAGAUCAAUGCAGAGUGAUGAGCAAGAUAAACCGGCAAGUCAAGCAUUAAGCAUCCAUGACAUAAGAGAAGGGUACAAGCUAGGAACUCAUCAACAGGUUCAACUUCUAAAUGCAUGGUAUAAAGUAAGCAGAAAAUAAACAAACUUACAUAUAUCAUUUGUCAACAAAGAGCAAAGAUUAUUCCUUCCAUUUCAGCUUUGUGAGACCUUCUGAUGGGUUUCAAGUAUCUGGACUUGCUCUUUCUCUUCUACCGGAAGAUAACCACUCAUCCAAAGUAGACUCUCUUCAUAUUCGAUCAUACCACGCUGUAGCACCUUCAAAACAUGCUGCCAAAUAUCGUUUUUGCUUAGUUUAUGAUCAGUCCUCAUUAACUUAAACCCUCUAGCAGUCGGAUUUGCGGCAACUUCUGAACUACAUUCAACACUCAAGAACUCUCUGAUACAUGAGGGCCGCUCCGGCAACUGAGUCAGUGGGUGGCGCUUUAAGCUAUAGAGCAUAGUCCACGAGUCACUGGAGUCAUAUUCUCUCAUGAUCCACAAAUGAACAGAGUUAGAACAAAAAUCUGAUACACACAGGCACCCUCCACAAACCCGGCCCCAAUCUUGGUACUAUUAUUGGUUAAAAUACCAAAAGGCAGUUCCAUCCUUCGGAACACCUCCUUUGCCAAGUCAAAACAAACUAGUUCAUAGUUAAUGAGGAAGUCAUCAUUUAUUAGCCAAUGAAGUACCUCACUAAAAAGAGUCCCCUGCUGAUCAAAGACGUCUGUAACAUCUGGAACAAUAUUGGAACUAUGGGAUUCAAUCCUCUCCCAAACGUGAGUUCUCAAUGAGAACAUAAAGAUCUCGUGUUUGUGGAUGUGAGUCGAGGCUACCAAAACUUUGUAGUCAUCCGUGGCCGAUAAAUAUCCCACACCGUAGACGUAGUAGUUUUGAUGUGAGGAAAAGCUUCGAUCAGGUAACUGCUUCAAGAGUCCGGUUGAUGGGUUGUAGAUAUAAAACAACUUCUCACCAACAGCUACAAAUACCAGACCAUUACAGGAGCCCAGUAGAUUGACAUGUGGUGGCUUUUUGACAGAGGAAGGCUCUUCAGACGGCGGCCUAUCCGAGGGUACGCGUAGGGGUUUAGGGGCGUUGGAGAGGAGUAUGCGGUUUAGGGUUUUCUGCCGACGAGCUGCUUUGAUUUGUGAUUCAGCAAAUUUGGGAUCUAAAAGUAUAAUGGAACGCAGACGUUUCGAAACGCAGGUGAAUCGGAUUAAGGACUUCACGGGCAAUCUAGAGAAGAUGUUAAGUAUAAUCUCUUCGGGUAGCUCUUCAGCCUCUUCUUUGUGCACCAUUGCCCCAAAACUUUUUAAUUUUUCUGAGGAGGCCAUUGCACCAAACCGAAGAUGAGAGCUAAAGCAAUGAUCAAGAGACCAAAACUGAAACCCUUCGCUAUUAAUACGACGAUACAUGUAGUCUUGUUUAGAUACAUAUUAUUCCAAAUAAACUAAAGACCUUUUAGGGCUCUUCUUCUACCCAGAAUAGGAGAAAUUUUUCAGUCCUCCGAAAAACCACGUGACAUUAUACUAUACAGUGGUCCUCACAACUAAUAGAAAACCACCGUGUAACAUUUUUGACAAGUCAUACCAAGGUGAAUAAAAGCAGUAAAACCAGACAACUCCAGGAAAAAAAAUAAAAAAAUUGACCCCCCCCUUUCCCAUUAGCUUUGAUGUAUCCCCUUAACUUCAGAAUGGGUAAACAAAGAUUGGGUACUGGAAUUGAUACAUGUAGGGGGUACGCUUGCAGACAAACUCAACUCAAGGUUUGCAUGCAAUUUGUUGUGAGUAUGAGAUCUACGGAAUCAGUAAGCUCUCUUGGUCCUCUUCCAAACUUUGCUCCUUCAGGAUCCAUUGGAUUAAUAGCUCAUCAAAUGGUGGCCAGUUAUCAACUCUCACAUGAAUCCUGAAUUGGUCUUCAACUGGUACAACACCAGAUCACCACGAAAGAAAUUAUUGAAUUCAAACACUUUCUUCCUCCUCCUCUCUUGUGACCCCCAAAUUAUUAAAGCAGAUAUCAAUUCAGAAAGAGCAGAGCAUCACGAACCCAAUGCUAAAUAGCACCGCGCGGGAAUUUGACCUCCCAAUUGAACCAAUUUUCAAAAUUGCCCACCUCAUCCGGUUUGGGGGUUGCGGUUACUGAACUUCAAAUUCUGUAGUUAGGAGACAGAGGAGUCGGAAAGUGAGAAGCUUUAUGCUUUUGACAGAUCCAGAAGGUUUGAGAAAGAGAGAUAAGGGGAAAAAGUCCAUACCAAUUCAAAGAAUAAAAGCAAACAUUGGGUAUAAGGAUGAUUUUAAUUUUGAGAUCUCCGGUUAACGACGAACAACAAAGCUAACGAGAAGGGAAGGGGGCAGGGGGUUAAUUUUUUUUUUUUUUUUCUGAAGUUGUCUGGUUUUACUGCUUUUAGUUUAUUCACCUUGGUAACUUGUCAAAAAUGUUACACGCGGCGGUUUUCUAUUAGUUGGGAGGACCACUGUACAACACCACGUGGUCCUCUAGGAGGACUGAAAAAUUUCUCUGAGAGUAGGCUAGGAGUAGUUCAUCACCUAUUUUUUGAUAGCAUAUAUGAAAUUAAAAGUUUAAGCAUUUAUAAAUAUGAUUUAUCAAUUUUAAACUUGAACAGUUUCUGUUUGACAGACUUGGAUUAUCUAUUGAUUUGAUCUAGUUCGAUUUCUUAAUGAUCAUUAAAUUGGCUGAAAUUUGUAAAACUAUAUAUUGACCUAAAACCUAAACAGUUAAGAUGACAAAUGUAUAUAAUACACCGUUAAUAAUUAGAAAGUCAUUAACUAAUUCUCAACUUAGGUGGCAACUGUGCUACACUAUUCUUUUCAUACUGGGCCCGUAGCAAAAACUAGUUUGUUAUUAUAGAAAAACUAGUCCAUGAGUGUGGCCCGUAGAUGAAGGCCCAGAACUGCAAAGACCCACCUCCCAUCUCUCUCUCUGCUCCCUCAUCUCUCUCUUCUCUCUCUUAUUUUCACAAAACCCUAAAACACUACUCCGCCCACAUUUCCUCUCCCUCUCUUUGCCGCCAAAAAAUCUCACCACCGCUCUUCCUCCACCCAUGGCGGAGCUAAAGCUCUCGGAGAGCCGAGACCUGACCCGAAUAGAGCGCAUAGGCGCUCACUCCCACAUCCGCGGCCUCGGCCUCGACUCCGCCCUCGAAGCUCGCGACGUCUCGGAAGGCAUGGUGGGCCAGACCGCAGCUCGUAAAGCCGCCGGCGUGAUUCUCCAGAUGAUCAAAGAAGGAAAGAUCGCCGGCCGGGCUGUCCUCCUCGCCGGACAGCCUGGCACCGGCAAGACGGCCAUUGCUAUGGGGAUGGCUAAGUCGUUAGGGCUCGAGACGCCGUUUGCGAUGCUCGCCGGAAGCGAGCUGUUCUCGCUGGAGAUGGGGAAGACGGAGGCGCUGAUGCAGGCGUUUCGGAAGGCGAUUGGGGUGAGGAUCAAGGAGGAGACGGAGAUUAUUGAGGGGGAGGUUGUGGAGGUUCAGAUUGACCGGCCUGCGGUGGCCGGAGCGGCGUCGAAGACUGGGAAGUUGACUUUGAAGACGACGGAGAUGGAGACGGUGUAUGACUUGGGGGCCAAGAUGAUUGAGGCGUUGGGGAAGGAGAAGGUGCAGAGUGGGGAUGUGGUGGCUAUUGAUAAGGCGUCGGGGAAGAUUACGAAGGUGGGGAGGUCGUUUUCGAGGUCCAGGGACUAUGAUGCGAUGGGACCGAGUGUGAAGUUGGUGCAGUGUCCUGAUGGGGAGUUGCAGAAGCGUAAGGAGGUUGUGCAUUGCGUCACGCUUCAUGAGAUUGAUGUCAUCAACAGCAGGUAAUAAGAAUCUCAGCCUUCGUCUUGUUCAUAGUCUUCUCAGAAUUGGGUUUUAUGCUGUGGAAGUUUCUGUUUGUUCUGCUUAUUGGUUGACAUUCCUAAAAUAUUAUGAAUUUCUGUUACUAAUGAUUUUGAAUGGGUGUUUGUAUGAUAUAUGUUAAAGUGUUUAAGCCUGCCAGUUAGGUACAAUCACAUUUAAGGAAUAUAUUGCAUCGCAAGCGUGCUGCUGUGAAUAAGUCUUUGAAUAUAUCUUUUCAAUUUAGCAGACUUGGUUGAUUGAUUGUAUUCAGGGUUGCUUUUGUCUUUGAUUAGUUGUAUCAAUUCAAAAUUUUCAAAUGGUUCUUGCAUGCACAAUUUCAGUCACAGGAAGAUACAUAUUUAUGCAUAUAAAGAUGUAAAUGUUCUCCAUUGCGGGUUCUAAGAUGCAGCUGUGCAAUAAAUUGACAGGCUUUGAUGAGUUUGAUCAAUGUCUAUUACUAAUAAUGUAAUGUAAACCCACCAGCAUAAAUUGAGCCCUCCUGAAUCAAAACAAACUGGAACCAGAUUUGAGAAAUCAUGGAUUUAUUUAAAUGAAGAAGCUUUUCUUCCUGUUCAACUGCAUUUAUUCUUUUUAUGGGUGUUUUUUUUUUUUUUUGUAAAGUAGAGUUCUUUACGUGGCUACAUGUAAAGGGUUUGAACCAAAAUUCAGUACCUUUAAUCUUGAAUCGCCAAAGUGGCUCUAGCCAAGUCAAAUGGUUGAGAAGUUUACUGGCCUGCUAUUGUGCGAUUUCUGUGAAUUGUUGUCGACUGAUCUGCUUACUGAACAUUUCUUUUAAUGCUCAACUGUUUAUAUAGCUUUCUUCUUCUUCUUCUUUUUUUGUUCUGAAAAAAAAUUGAUUUUAUGGUGCUACAUGUACCGAGAGAAGGGUUUGAACAAAAGUCAGUACCCUUGAUCUUGAAUUACCAAAUUGGUUGUAGCCAAAUUGAAUGGUUGAGAAGCUUACUGGCCGGCCAUUGUGAGAUUUCUCACCUGUGUCAAUGGAUCUGCUUACCGAGCUUCUCACAUUUCUCUUGAAUGUUUUUUGUUUGUUGUUUUGAGGUGGCUCUUAUGAGAAGGGGAGAAGAGGGAACUGGCAUAAGAUAUUGCCUUUUCAAGAGGCCCUUUUCUAAUAUCAAUAUGUUAACUGAGUCAACUUCCCCGCAAAUUUGCUUUGACUCCCCAGCUGUUUGCUUCUGUUGGUGCCUAGUUGCUUACAUCUUUUUGCUUCUUCUUUUUUUUCCCCUUAAUUUGGGUAACAUGUGUUACCUGCCAGGAAAACCUUUAUAGCAUACCUUUCAGAGCCAUCUGAUCUGGUAAAUGUAAAGUAGAAAGAGAAACCUAUGUUAGUAAAAAGGUGAUGGAAGGAGAACUCGUGUAAAACCUAUUGACUUACAUAUGGGACUCGGUUGGUAAAAGAGAAAACAUUCUCUUGUGCUCAACAUUGGUUCCAGUGUUUCUCUCUACCUACAAUGAGUUUUCUUCUUGAUGUCUGUUACAGAUUUUGGUAUGUAAAAGUCUGUUAGAUGAGCUUCCAUUCAAUUGCAUAGAUUCAAACUUAGUUUAAUGGUUAUUAAGGUGUACUGUCAUAUAUAUGGAGUGUCUUCUUUCCUUGAAUACUCAUGCACAUAAAUAUAAACUUUCAAGAUGUUUAAGAAUCUCGAAAUGUUUCUCAUUCUGUUUUCAUGUUUUUGUUUUGGAUUAAUGGUAUUGGUAUUAUAAUAGUUGUGCUUGUAUUACAGUUCAAACAAUUGUUGAAUUGUAUUUUGAACUGUAUGCAGUUGAACAUCCCCUUUUACAAAAUAUAUAUAUAUAUAUAUAUAUAUAUAUAUAUAUAUAUACANAGAANNNNNNNNNNNNNNNNNNNNNNNNNNNNNNNNNNNNNNNNNNNNNNNNNNNNNNNNNNNNNNNNNNNNNNNNNNNNNNNNNNNNNNNNNNNNNNNNNNNNNNNNNNNNNNNNNNNNNNNNNNNNNNNNNNNNNNNNNNNNNNNNNNNNNNNNNNNNNNNNNNNNNNNNNNNNNNNNNNNNNNNNNNNNNNNNNNNNNNNNNNNNNNNNNNNNNNNNNNNNNNNNNNNNNNNNNNNNNNNNNNNNNNNNNNNNNNNNNNNNNNNNNNNNNNNNNNNNNNNNNNNNNNNNNNNNNNNNNNNNNNNNNNNNNNNNNNNNNNNNNNNNNNNNNNNNNNNNNNNNNNNNNNNNNNNNNNNNNNNNNNNNNNNNNNNNNNNNNNNNNNNNNNGCCUCGUGUGUGUAUAUAUAUAUAUAUAUAUAUAUAUGUACAAACAAAAAGCUCAAAUAAUGUUGGCUUGCAAGCUGCUCGGUUUGAGUUUUGGCACUCUACUUUAGACUCAGUGUAAGGUUUGGAUUAAUGCCAGAGUUUGUUUCUGAUUAUAAUUUUUCUUUGUACCAGAACACAAGGAUUUCUGGCUCUCUUUACUGGAGAUACUGGUGAAAUUCGUUCAGAAGUGAGAGAACAGAUUGACACAAAGGUAGCAGAGUGGAGGGAGGAAGGGAAGGCAGAAAUUGUGCCGGGUGUUCUGUUUAUCGAUGAGGUGCAUAUGCUUGACAUUGAAUGCUUUUCUUUUCUGAAUCGUGCUCUGGAGAAUGAGAUGGCUCCAAUUUUAGUUGUUGCUACAAACAGAGGGAUCACUACGAUCAGAGGCACAAACUAUAAAUCCCCCCAUGGGAUUCCAAUUGAUCUCCUUGAUCGCUUACUUAUUAUCACCACUCAGCCUUACACUGAGGAUGAAAUUCGCAAGAUUCUGGACAUCAGAUCCCAAGAAGAAGAAGUUGAGAUGUCUGAAGAGGCAAAGCAUUUGUUGACCAAGAUUGGUGUAGAUGCAUCUUUGAGAUAUGCCAUCCAUCUCAUAACAGCUGCUGCCUUGGCAUGCCAAAAGCGGAAGGGAAAGAUUGUUGAGAUGGAGGAUAUUAACCGAGUUUACCAUCUGUUCUUGGAUGUGAAACGAUCAACACAAUACUUGAUGGAGUAUCAGAGUCAGUACAUGUUCAAUGAUGCUGAUGAAGACGAUGCCAAUGCCAUGCAACCUUGAGAUAUUCUUUGGACUAGGAAGAUUUUAUGGUUAUUUGUGUAUGUCGCUUUAGUGAUUAUAUGCAUCAUUGAACUUUGUUUAGGGGAAAUGGUAUCACUCUGGUUGUAUGUUAUCCUGUUAGGGAAUUAGUUUUGUUACUUUGUAGUUUUUUCAUGUGUAGGGAUGAAUCAGUAAACUUUGUCUACUCUUUAAUGAAGCAUAACUAUUUUAACUGGUUCGAUCUGAUCUUUAGUUUCAGUUCAUAACUUACACUGGAUUUGAGAAUGCUAUAACAGAGCAAGAAUUCAUACAAAUUCCUUGUUGGUUCAGAUGGGAGGCAUAGACAAUUGCAGAGUUGAUGGAAUUAUUACCAGAAGAACACAAGUACAUAAAGAUGAAUAAAUACAAACAGGGAAUUACAAGAUUUGCAGAUAUACAGUAGAGCCACCUUGCCUUGUGUUGACCCUGUAAAACUUCAACUAAAAUUUCUUAAAAGCACCAAGAAGUUGGAAUCAUUUCCAGAGUUAAACAGGAGACGCUUAGCUAUUCUGUUUCAUCUGGUAAUACAGUCAAGCAGACCAAUGUAGUCUUCCCAAUAUCAUCUUAUGCAAUCUGCAUUGCAGGAUGAGGACUUCAGGAGAUCUGUUUUCCAUUCCUAAACUGCCUAAUUGGUCUUUUCAAAGGAAAGUAGAAUCUAGUCUCUAAUUCUGUGAGGUUCAAACAGGAAUCAUCUUCAAGAAAGCAGCAAUUGGCAUCCCUAUGAAGCCAAUAAAGACAGUAACAAACCAUUGAUACAGGGUGAGAGAAGCUGUGCUAAUUCCUGAGGAACUCGAUAAUAAUGAUUUGGAACACAACUGUGGAACCGAGGACUGCAACGAAAACAUCUAUGUCUUCCAUCUCACGCGAGCUUAUUUCAUUGAACACCUGAGAAAAAUAUCAUGUUAUCUUUGAAGAUUGUUCUGACAUGAACUAGUUUGAAGAAAUAUGGCAUGAGAUCUUCACUUACAGUACCAGAAUGUACAUGUUCAACGAUGCUGAUGAAGAUGAUACCAAUACCAUGGAAUCUUGAGAUAUCUCUUUGGCCUAUCUGGUUACUAUGUAUCUUGCUUAUACUGAUAUGCAGUUUCUAAACUUUGCUUAUGCGAAAUGGCACUUUCUACAAUUGUAUGUUUGUCCUGUCUUUCUGCCCACUCUUUCAAACCAAGCUUUAACAUUUUAGCAUGUUCAUUCUGGUAAUUAGUUCAGAUUAUGUACCGAUUUUCAGGAUUGUACAUAAGUUGCUUGUCUUCUUGCCUUUAAGCUUAUAAAUUGUAAGAGGAGCUGUGCUAUUGGUAUAAAAGAUUAGUUCAAAAUAGUUCGACUUCUAACCUCUCAACCCCCUACUACCAUAUACUCUGAAUAGUUUCGUUGUUGGUUAUUAGUUUUGGUUGUUGGUUUCAACUUUCAAAUCUCUUGGAAUUGUGCUGGAAGAAAUAGGAGAGGAGAAAAGGGACAUAGGGGGAGCUGUCUUCGAUUUUGAUCUACUAUUGCGUUCGUCAUCAGCAAGGUCAUGGGUCAGCAGCAGUUCCUUUGGUCUGUUUCUUUUCUAGAGAAGUUUAUGACAGGUACUUGGCUCCAUGUAAGCAAUAAUUUUCAUUGUGUAUGAAGGAAUAAAGGGGUAAAAAAUAAAUAGGAAAAAAAAAAAAAGUGGAGACUCAAAGAGGAACAAUUUUAUUUGAAAUGGGUCUUACAGACCCCCAAACAAUAAGGAAUUGAGCAAUCAUAUAUAUGUUACAUAUCCAAAACAACAUGUAUGUUGUCCGAAAUUGAAGCUUAGCAGGGGCACAGGACCCAGUUGGUCCUUUCAGUAGCUCCACCAUUGAUACCAGCUGAACGGCAAAUUGCAACAGACUCCUUGAUACCAGGAGGAAUUGUAGUGCCAACAAUUCCUAUGCAAGUAUAUUCAGAAGUUGGAAUGGGAUCCUCAGCUGAGAAUUCUUUGUCUAGUUCCAUAUACCCAAGGCACCAAGUUCCAAGACCCUCACCAGCAAAAUCACUGCUAGUAACUUGAAGAUGCUUGACUGAUGCUUCAUCAAGAGGAACAGUUACAAACAAACUGUUUGAAUUGAUCACCAUAGUUCUGCAAGCGGCCACGAAGCAAACAAGUGCUUUAUAAUCUAUCGUAUUCUGCCCCAAUCUAUUUCUUAGAACUUGUAUGUAACCCAUCAAACUUUCAUGUUCGAUUGUCAUCCCUACUCUGGUAACCAUCAUUGUGCAUUGUCCAUCUAAAACCUUAGUUCCAGCAACAAGGACAGGGUUUUCAGGAGUUACCACUAUAGGCUUACUCUCACCAAUUAAACUCGAUGCAUCGAUUAAGACAGAGUAUCCGAAGACAAACAGCCCAUCUGCAGGUACGGUGUCCCCUUUAGAAAGGUGUAACAUAUCACCAGGUAUUCCAGGAUAUCUCAACUUCUUCAAAUCAGGACCUAUCAGAAAGAAUUCCGAUUCAUCUACAGAGCUUGCAAAAAAAGACCUACCAAGACCUCGCUCAAAGGAUUCCACUUGAUCAGCAAGUAUUGCAACGUCGGCAGGCAAGACAGAGUCACUUGACUUCAUACCUGAAGACACCAGAAGUUUAAAAUAAGCAUGAACUCGCUGUAAUUUAAGGGUAGCAGAUAUUUAUCUAAAUGCUGAAGCGACUCACCUCGAGCAGAUCUGAAUGAAGCUUCAGACAAUGAACCAGCAAUCCGCGGUUUCUCCUGCACAGUUUAAAUCAGAAUGUAAUCAAUAAAUAAGUACAUAUUUUCAAGUUAAAAACGUAAUAAUUGUCUUAGUAUAUUUAGGACAAUGCGCAUGACCAACUUACAGUAUUUUCAUUAUCCUAACACCAAGUCACCAAAUCCAUCUCAGAACCAUGACAAGACUCAAUCAAGUCCAUCAAUAAUAACCAAGAUGUCCAAAACUCAGCUAUUAUCAGGGUAAAUGUUUACUGAAUGAUUAGUCUAAUAUGAUAUGUAGUUGUAUUCCAUUUCCAUCAAAGCAAAUUUCCCCCAAAACCACACAUAGUUUCUUCCUCUCCGAUCACCGAUCACAUUUUAACCUCUGCAAUGUAAGACAUGCACUAGCCUAACAUGACCCAAAUGCCAACAAAGAUAUAAGCCCAUGUUCUAUAAUUUUAUUUACAAUCUAAACAAACCAUCGAAUUUCUGAGUGAUCAAAUUUCUAAUACCGAACGACAGGAAUAUUUACGAGAGCAAUUGUAAUUAUUGGACAAAAGCGAAAAACAUGUAAGAUAAGGAAAUCAAUUAACAGGGAGGAUUGAAAUUAACGAACCUGAGUAGCUAGGGGCAUAACCGCGACCUCAGCGUGAUCGAGAAUCCAUCGGGUCAAAUCUUUUGGGCUAAGAAACUGAGAAUAGAUCCCCAUUUCCCCAAUAGCAUUUUGCAAACAUAACAUUUUAAGUGUGUACGUGGUGCUGAGUAAAACCCUCCUCCAAAAGACCAGAACUAUAUAACAACAAGACGAACCUAAAACUCUAAAAGCAAAUUAGGUGAAGGAUUUUGGGUGCAAAUUCUUAGCUCUAAUCCUCUGAACCCACUUUGAACUUGACAGUGCAGAUGCCAUCAACAGAAAAAUGGUUUAUAGGUGAACCCACUUUGAACUUGACAGUGGAGAUGCUAUCAACAGAAAAAUGGUUUAUAGGUGUGUUGUUGGUUUGAGAGCGAAGACAAUAAGCAAUAGAGGCUGAGAUGAGGAGAAGACGGAAAGGGAGUGAAGAUCCGGUUUUUGGUGGAACCUUCAUGGUCAGCUGAUGAUUGUGAUCAUCUAAAUCCUUAUACCUCUGUUCGAUUUCAGCUCACUCCAACUCUGCUCCUGUUGAUGAAAAGGGGAAGAGCAGCUGAAGGAAAGUCUAUUUUGCGGCGGGUGUUAUGAUUCGGACAAAAAAAAUCCCUAAUUUAUGACUAUAUAUAUAUAUAGGCAACUAUAUGCAAUCUCAUUCAUACACGUGGCAUCUAUCAGGCCGUCUAUUGUUUAAAGAGGGAUCUCUCGCGUGGCAGGGUGGCUUUUCAUUCAAGCAAAGGCAAUUUUCAGAUUUUUGUCCUCUUGUACUUGAGUCCAGUUUCCUGGGCGGCUUGGACAGGUGCAACUGGCUCCCAAAUUUCGGGACCUAUAUAUACUUAUUAGAUAAUAUAUAGAAAAAAGGGCAUUUCUUUACACUAUAACAACGCAGUUCAGUUGGCUCUGAAGUCUGAACGUCUUAAACCUACCUGAGUUCGAAUCACAGGCAUGAUAUUUCUUUUUAUUUCAAUCCAUCAAGUCAGGGAGUGGUUAUGAAAUAUUACAAAUGUCCGGCACAAAAAUCUACAAAGCAGACCAACCUAAACUACUAACAAUUACCGAAUGCAAUGGUAUUAUUCAUUAGGGUCAAAAAAAUCUCUUGGAAAAAAACCAACAACAAAACAAAAACAUCCCUCGCCUUACCAUGCCCCAAAAAUGAAACCACUGUAAAGAUCAUUUAGAUGUCAAGACCUCAAAUGGUGCAUGUUUCGACAAAUCAAACAGUAAUGUGGUCAAGACCUCAAAUGGUACCACCCAUGAGACAGAUAGGGCAAGAAAUGCAGUAGCCCGCUCCAACAAAAUCCAGACCAGCCCAAACAAAAUAAAACAAAAAAGAGAACUGAACCUAAGAAGCCCAGCCCAACCCAGCAGAGGCCCAAGCAACUUGCCAUGGAUCUUCCUCGUAUUUGGAAAUUUGUGUAUGUUGCUUUAGUGAUUUUAUGCAUGAAUGGGUCAUGGAACUUUGCUUCGUAUAAAAAAAAUAAUAAUAAUAAAUAAAUUAAAAAAUUUGCUUAGGGGAACUGGUGUUACUAUGGUUGUAUGUUGUUCUGUUAGGAUGUUAGAUCUUGGGAAUUAGUUUUGUGGUUUUUCCAUGUGUAGGGGAUGAAUUAGCAAACUUUAUCUACUCUUUUAAAUCUAGCAUAAGUAUUUAACUGGUUCAAUCUGCUGUUUAGUUUCAGUUCAUAUACUGAAUUCCAGAAUGUUAUAACAGAGCAAAUAAUCAUACAAAUUCCUUGUUUGGUUUCAGAUUGGGAGGCAUAGACAAUUGCAGAGAGUUAAUGGAAUUAUUACCCGAAGAACACAAGUAAUUACAUAAAGAUGAAUAAAUGUAAACAGGGUGUUACAAGACUUGCAGAUAUACAAUAGAGCCACCUUGCCUUGUGUUCACCCUGUAGACUUGGAACUCAAAUUUCUUAAAAGCACCAAGAAGUCGGGAUCCUUUCCAGUGUUAAACAGGAGACGCUUAGCUAUUCUGUUCAUCUGGUAAUAGACAAUCAACCAGAUCAAUAUAGUCUUCCCAAUAUCAUCUCAUGCAAUCUGCAUUGCAGGAUGAGGACUUAAAGAGAUCUGCUUCCAUUCCUAAACUGCCUAAUUGUUCUUGUCAAAGGAAAGUAGAAUCUAGUCUCUAAAUCUGUGAGGUUCAAACAGGAAUCAUCUUCAAGAAAGCAGCAAUUGGCAUCCCUAUAAAGCCAAUGAAGACGGUAACAAACCAUUGACACAAGGUGAGAGGUGUUGUGCUAGCAAACUUCCCCAGGAACUCGAUAAUAAUGAUCUGGAACACAACUGUGGAACCGAGGACUGCAACGAAAACAUAGUUAUCCAAUAUGCCCUUGAAAACAUCUAUGUCUUCCAUCUCACGCGAGCUUAUUUCGUUGAACACCUGAAAAAAAGAUCAUGUUACCUUUGAAGAUUGUAAUGUCAUGAACUAGUUUGAAGAAACAUGGUAUGAGAUUUUCACUUACCUGACAGAAGACAAAUGUAUUGAAAAUGAGAGUGUUCAGGAUCAGAUGAGAAUCUGGUCCAUCAAGACCAAAUAUUGAUUCUCCUUUUGCCUGAAGAAGCCAUAUUACUGUAAACUGAUAGAAAGACUGCCCCAAAAUAUUCCUCCACAUUACAUUACUGAUGAAAUUUUGCCUCUUUCCAACUGGUGGACGCUUCAUUAAAUCAUUAUUUGGAGGCUCAGUUGCAAGUGCAAGUGCUCCCAGUGUGUCCAUAAUCAUGUUCACCCACAGUAGCUGAACAGCAGUGAGGGGUGCACUCCCUGAAAAAUAAUGCAAGAGAAAACAUACAUCAAAAACGUUUACAAUGAUGAAAAGAAAAGGAAUGUGAAAGCCAUAACAGAAAUGGUCAACAAAUGUGAGCAUGCUAACCUGUCAAACAAGCCGAGGAGAAAUUAACAAUCAGUGCAACAAUAUUGACAGUCAGCUGGAACUGCACAAAUUUUUGAAUGUUGAUGUAAACCGAACGUCCCCAUUUUGCCACUGUCACAAUUGUGGAGAAAUUAUCAUCCAGAAUUAUAACAUCAGCACUCUCCUUAGCCACCUGAAAAAAGGAAAGGUAAUUAGUUGAGCUUUAAGCACUGAAGAAGAAGUAUGUAGUUCUGCACUUGCAUAGCAUUUACUCACCUCAGUUCCGGCAAUGCCCAUGGCUAGUCCAAUAUCUGCCUCAUGAAGUGCUGGGGCAUCAUUUGUUCCAUCACCAGUUACAGCAACAACUUCAUCAAAUGUUGUCCUCAAGUGUUUCACCAGUGUAUGCUUGUCUAGAGGCGAUGAUCGUGCCAUGACCUACAACAGGAACUCAAAUUUUAGUCUCACAGACUAAUAGAAUCAUACUCAGUUAGGACUACACUGUAUAUGUUUCGGAACUUAAGUUCCUAAGAAAAUAAAAUGAAGUUCACCUGAAUUUUAGGAAUUAGUGAAAGCAAUUCUUCUUGAUUCUUCUCCCUGAACUCCGGACCUUCAAUGGCUAAUCCAUCAUCUGUGAGAAUUCCACAUUCCCUUGCUAUGGCCUUUGCAGUGUGGAUAUUGUCUCCUGUAACCAUUCUUACUGUGAUACCAGCUGAACGGCAAACUGCAACAGACUCCUUCACACCGGGACGAACAGGAUCUUUAAUGCCAACAAUUCCUAAGCAAGUAUAUCCAGAAGUUGGAAUGGCAUCCUCAGCAGAGAAUUUGUCUAAAUCCAUAUAGCCAAGGCAUAAAGUUCGAAGAGCCUCACAAGCAAAAUCAUUGAUAGUAACUUUGAGAUGGUUAAUGGAUGCCUCAUCAAGAGGAACAGUUUCACCAUUUGAAUUGAUCACCUUAUCACAGUUGGCCAAAAUGAUUUCUGAAGCACCUUUAGUAUGUGCUCUGAAACCUCCUCCUUCAGGCAGUUCCAACACGACCCCCAUUCUUUUCUUUGUUGAGUUGAAAGGCUCAACUUUCACAAUUUUAGAAGCUUUUCUCUCUGCUUGAAAAUCUCCACCAAGUGCCAAGCCAAACGCCAACAAUGCAGUGUCGGUAGGUGUUCCCAACAUCUCAUUCUUGCCACCUUUGUUAACCACAACUUCUCCACCAGUGUUAUUAAAUAUCGAUUGCAGCAACAACUUCUUAACAGAUUCCGGAAGAUCAGAGAACAAGCUUGAAGCAUCACUGAGGUUGCUCACAUCUUUGACAUUCAUGCAAAGGCAUGACUUGACAACAGUCAUUUUGUUGGUAGUCAGUGUCCCAGUUUUGUCACUGCAAAUGUUGGUGGCUGAUCCCAUAGUUUCGCAAGCUGCUAGAUGACGAACAAGCGCCUUAUCAUUCAUCAUUUUCUUCAUGGCAAACGCAAGGCUCAAUGUCACAGCCAGUGGCAACCCCUCAGGUACAGCAACAACAACAAUUGUAACUGCAAUAGCAAAGAACUCUAGCAAUUUCAUUGCAUCAUCUCCAUUCCAGCUCCAUUGUGUCCCUUCGCUCAGUUUUUGACUAAACAGUCCUUGCACCAUAACAGCAAAAGUCACAACAGCAAAGAAAAGUCCUAUCUUACCAAUGAUGGUUGCCACUCCAUUCAACUUCACUUGCAAUGGGGUUUCAUCAUCUCCGCCUUCACUUAGUGUGGCCAUCAGUUUGCCCCAUUGAGUUCUCAUCCCAACUGUGGUGACCAUCAUCUUGCAUGAUCCAUCUUGAACCUUAGUUCCAGAAAGAAGAAAGGGAUUUUCAGGAGUUACCAUUAUAGGCUCACUCUCACCAGUUAAACUGGAUUCAUCAAUUAAGACAGAAAAUCCAGAAACAAAUAGACCAUCAGCAGGUACUUGGUCUCCAAUAGAAAGGUGUACAAUGUCACCAGGAAGUAGUUCAUAUAUAGACAUUUUCUGCCUAUAUCCAUUUCUUGUUACUUGCAUAGCAAUCUUUUUCUUCUCCUUGUCCAAGUCCUUGAACUGUAGUGAUUGGCGAUAAUCACUUGUUGCUGUGACAAACACAACCAACAUGAUACUGGCAACAAUUCCAAGCCCAUCAUGAGCUCCUACUGGCCAUCCUUCCAUUGCUAUUCCAACGAGAAGCGACACAAAAGCACACACUCCAAGGAUCAUAAGAGUCAUGUCCUGCAGGGCUUCCCAAACAAAUACAAAGAAACCACGCUGCUCACUCUCAGUAAACUUAUUAAUGCCGAAAAUCUCUUGUCUUCGAGUGUUCAAAUCAGUUUCGGUAUUAAGCCCAUCUUCUACUGAUGUACACAGCUUCUUUGUAAGGCCAGUUACACCUCCAUGAAAUUUCAGCUUCUUCACAUCAUGACCUUCCACAAUGGAUCCCACUUCAUCAGCACAAAUCUCAAAACCCGCGGCUUUAACUUCCUGAGGUAGAACAUAGUCACUUGGUUGUACACCUGCAGACACCAGAAAUUUAGAAUGAGCAUGAAGCACCACCUUUCAAUGUGAUGAUACUGUUUGUAUAUCUUAAUGCUGAACGUACUCACCUUGAAUAAAUUGAAAUGCAGCUUUAGAAACCAAAACUGCAAUCCUCAAUUUCUCCUGCAAAAUGCAAGUCACCAAGUAAUCAGUACAGUCAGAAGUUGCAUGACAGAACUUGCAAUUCAUUCUCCUAACACCAAGUCCAUUACUCCAUUUCUAAGUCCACCACCAUAUUGACGACAAGAAAAAAGAGACUUUCUGAAACUAUAGACAAUUUGGAAACUGUUAACAACACUUUCUCUCCAAGACUCCAUCUGUGAAAUUGUAGAAUUUGAACUGAAAGUAUUGUCACUUUUUAGUUUUUACCAACUACAGCUACAGCAAGAAACCCUUAAUAUCUAGUGGCAUAGUUUUGUGUCACAAUCUAUAAACUGUUUUACAGAGUUAUAACAAAAUUUCCAGAUAUUGGAUAAGGUUGCACAUAAGCUUUUAUUUUGUACAAUAUACAGAGAAAAUUUGUCAACAUGUAUAAAACCAAUCACUGUCAGGCUAUAUGAACAACUAAUCAUCAUUUGCUAUUGACUAAUGAGUUGAGAGCAAAUAUAUAUAGGCAUCUGUCUUCUUCCUCUGUCUUAUUUGUUGGGCUAAUUAAGUUGACUAAAGACUAGUUGAUUGUUCCUUUAAAAUACCCUUAAGAGUUGAAUAAGACACAGAAAAAUAUAUUCCCUUACAUUCUAUAUCACACACAAAGUAAACCAAAGCAUUCUCCAAUUUAAGAUGUCAAAGUUCAAACUUCAAACAUUUGACAACUUCUGGUUUCAAGGUUAUCAUAAUUAUUUACAUAUUAUGUGUCAUAUCCAUUUGUGUCACUCAAGAACAAUGCAUAUUAUUACAGAGGUUGUAUUAUGGGAUAUAUACCUGAUUGGUACGGCGCAUGGCCGCAGCCUCUGUACGCUUGGAAAGAUUAGCAGUGAACCGAAACCGUCUUUUCGGGUUCUUCACUACCCCACAAAGCUUCCUCCAUUUCUGCAACGUUUCUUCAGACGAUCCCUUUGCCUUCACUUCCCCAAAAUUCUGCAAAUAACUCUCCAUAAUCUUCUUCUACCUUUCUUCUGCUCAACUUUGUAGUAACAAUCACAAACCUCCUCCAAAUCAUAUAUAAGCUUCAAGUAGUAAAGGAAGAAGGCACGUAGGAAGAUCACGUAGAGGAAGUUUCAGCAACAUUUCAGGCAUAUGGUGGCCUUUAGGAAAGAACAAGGAGAAUGAGGUCUGGACCCGACAAAAAGGAAAAAUGGUCUGUAAUUUCUUGGCCCGUGUAGCUCAAGUUCUGUACCCAAAAAUAGAAAAGAGAGAGUAAUGAGGAUCCGAAAUUUGGUGGUAUUACUUGGUUUGGGAGCUAAUAACGGUUAGAUCAUAUCCGAGCUUAAUUCUUGGCUCUGUGAUCUGGUAUUUUGGAGAAGAAGAAGAAGAACCAGCGGGGUCAACACUCUCAGUUUGUAGUUGUUUGGUGUGAGAUUAUGGGGGUUAAAUAGAGAGAUCUCUCUAUCAGAGAGCAGUUAAUUAUGGUUUGAAUUUUACAAUAUAAUUAAGCAUUUUUAUGCCUAACUACUAUUACCGCGUUUUUAAUUUUCUUUUUGGUGCGUGUUUGAGACGUGUAUAACGCGUAGAGAAUAAAAGGAGCUACUAUAAAAAGGAAGAGACCAAGACUUUGAGAAUGCAAGUCCUUGGCCAUAGUAACGUCUUUGUUUCUUUAAGGAAAGGAGUGUGAAGUUCACUCACUAAUACUAUUCACAUGGUGUGAGGCAGAGUUUUCACGUGUAAUGGAAUCAUAAUUGUGCGGAUUAAGUAUCAUCGUGACGUAUCGGAAGUGAUUGUCUAUUAUUGAGUUUCGAAAUAAGUUGUUGAAGUUAAGUUAUACUUGUUAUUGUUUAUAAGUGUCUAAAUUGAAAAUGACAUUGGAUGUAACAUAAUAGAUUAUUAUUUUAAGUUGAUGAAAUUCUACAAGUUAGGAAGAGAUUGGUUUGUUUCAAAAGUAAUUAAGAAGACUUUGUUUAGGGUCCAUGAAAAAGAUUAUAUAAGUACGUUCAUCGGUUCAUGGACUAAACUGGCCACGAACAUUUUUAACUUAAUCAUCUUAUAUAUCGUCGUUCAUAAUACUGUGUGUAUAAGAUUUUGAUACUCAAUACAACAAGUUAUAUGACUUAAUAUAUCAUUUAUCGCACCGUUAAAAAACUUAGGUUAGGAUUGCAAAGACCAUAUUGAGUCCCGGCCCCUAGUCGAUCACUCGUAUUUUAACCAUCAAGGGUGAGAGCUAAACUCAUAGGUUGAAGCCUUCAACAUGCAUGCCUGCUCAUUUACAUAAAUAUGAAAUAUACUCAACAUGCCUGCUCAUCACCUUCUUCUUACACACUGCAAAACUUUAUCAAAUCAGUAGAUCAAGAACCUUAGAAGUAGAGUUUCACUAUUCUAUCAUUCAUUGCAGAAAUGAAGUUCUACCUCUUUUUGUUAUGAACUUCUGAUGCAGUGAUACUUAUACUUGUUACCACCUACUGCUUGUUGAGAUAUAUAUCCCACAUCGGGAAAAAUGAGAUCUUGUUUGGGGUUUAUAAGGGUUUGGGCCACUCUAUCCAUUGUCAAUUGGUUUUGGAUGUGAACACCAGACUACUUUAUCAUGGUAUCAGAGCGGGUUACCCACGUUUACGUGUGAAGCCUAAUGGCCACACGAACUCCACGUCACCCCAAAUGUUAUCCACGUGUUAGGCUUGAAAAUUUGUCACACGUGCGGGGGCGUGUUGAGAUAUAUAUCCCACAUCGGGAAAAAUGGGACCUUACCUGAGGUUUAUAAGGGUUUGGGCCACUCCAUCCAUUGUCAAUUAGUUUUGGAUAUGAACACCAUACUACUUUAUCACUGCUACUAAUUGAUAAGAGCUUGUGGACAGAACUUGCCCAUAUCAGUUUCUAUCUAAAUGCUUCAAUUUCAGAGACCUAAUACAAAAACUUGGGAAGAAAGUACGCAGUACUGCUGCACAUUGUUCAUGUUUAGGUUCAGGUACUCAAGUUUCUAACAUUCAAAGAGCUAUUCAUCACUAUCAUCAUCAUCUUCAUCUCCAUAGUCCUCAACAUGGCUAUAACAUGAUACAGCAUGCGGAAUGAUCAUGUCUCGAAUCGUGAUACCAAUCACAUAAUCUUCCGAAAGUUUGCCUUUGAGUUGAUAAGUUUCUAUGUCAAAAGAAAGACGUUUGAAGACAGUAUCAUAUGAUGACUCGAAGAAAUUGAAGAAACUUUCAAUGCCUUCACCGUCUCUACCAGGUUGUGGGAAUCUUUCCACUGUAUUUCAUCCCCAACUAUCUCCAAGGAAACAGAGUCGUUGUCGUCACCCAUCACCUCAUACUUCUUAGUCAAAACCUUGUUCUUGAAUAAGGAUUAUAGUCGAAGGUGAACUCCAGCACAAUUCCUUUCAAAUUAGUUGUCCUACUGGACAGGGCCGGCCCUGACCAUAGGCCCAGCAGGCGCUGAUCUAAAGCCCCAAGUUUUAUGGGCCCAAAAAAAAACAUUGCCUCCUUAUAUAUAAUGAAAAAAAAAAUUAUACAGCCGUGAUCUCUUUUUUCUAGAAAAGGCACCAGGAAUGUUUCGUCUUCUCUUGUUCUCUUCUAUAAUUGAUAAUUCUAUUGCGGCAAAUUGGCGUUCUCAAAGUCUCUUGUUCUCUUUUUUUCUUUUUGGUUUCAGACUCUCUCUUCUCCUUCACUGCUUGAGUCCUUGUUCAUAUUACCAGGUAUUUUCUUCUUCUUUCUUUUGGUUUUUUUUCCGAUGAUGCCCUUUGCUUUAGUUCCAUGAUUCCAUUGAAUUGCUGCAAUUUUAUGAUUACAUGGUUUUACUUGUUUGUUUAAUUAUAUAACUAAUGAAUAUAUGAGACAGAUUUUUUUGUUUUGUUUGUGUGUAUACUAACCUAUUCUUUGAUUGUUUGGUUCCUGCCUAACCCUUUCAACUGAGUGUUGUUGAAGUUUUGCAAAGUUUUUUCUUAUUGUUCUUCAGUUCUUGGUGAAUCAAUUAUUAGUUAUAGUCUUACAUAGUUGUUAUUUACUAGUUCAACCAAAGUACCAAAUUAAACAUUAGCCAUCAUACUUGAUUAUAACAAUUGUCAUUGUGAAUAGGAUUUGUCUUCGAUCAACUAUGUCACAGGAAAGAUUGAAUGGUUUAGCUUUGUUGUCGAUUGAAAAAGAGUUGGCUCAAAAGCUUGAUUAUUUAAGCUUAAUUGAAACUUUUGCAGCCAAGAAUGCAAGAAUGGUUGUUUUUCAGUAGCAAGAGUGUUAUUUUUUGUAAUUCUAAGAUUUUAUUUGAACUACUGUAGUAUCUGAUCAAAUUACUGGAUUGAUAUAUUGUUGGAUAUAUUAAUUCUAUUAGUAUUCAUAUAUGUUGUUUGCAUAGUUACAUACUUGAAAAAGACUUAGGUGCCUUGGGGUAUUCAUACCUUGCAAGAUGUCAUUGUUUUAUUUGUCCACAUAGGUCCACAUAGGAUAACAGCUUAAAAACUUAACAGAUUUUUGUAACUAUUCUAACGGAUUUUUGUAACUGUUAAAAAAAAAAANNNNNNNNNNNNNNNNNNNNNNNNNNNNNNNNNNNNNNNNNNNNNNNNNNNNNNNNNNNNNNNNNNNNNNNNNNNNNNNNNNNNNNNNNNNNNNNNNNNNNNNNNNNNNNNNNNNNNNNNNNNNNNNNNNNNNNNNNNNNNNNNNNNNNNNNNNNNNNNNNNNNNNNNNNNNNNNNNNNNNNNNNNNNNNNNNNGAUGGGUCAGCUAUAUAUAAGGGUAAUAACCGACAAUGAAUGGUCAGUCUAAGGAUUUCGGUCAAUGACAAAGUCACAUGUGUCAACAUGUAAGAGAUUGCUUCGUGAAACAUGUCAAAGGCAAGAGAUGACUAUUCAACUUGCACCCACGUGGGGGAGCAGCUGACUUUGUCUCCAGCAAUGAAUGAAGUCCAUCAAUAGAAACUCGCCACAUGACGGUCCAAUCCAAAAGUCAUCCCUAUCUUCGAAAAAUCAUAAAAAAUAGUCCGAGAAUCCGAGAAAUUCACCGAAAAAUACGACGAACUCGUGGAGACAUCUAGUUUCUAAUUCUAAAAAGAAAAACACAUUUUGAGAAAUUUCAAAAUUCGGGAUGUUACAAGUCACCUCUAGUGUAUAUAGGGUUUAUGAUGAUUGAGCAUAGUCACCCUAAUUCCUUUUGGCAUAUGGAGCAUAGUCACCCUAAUUCCUUUUGUGAUGAUCGAUCAAUAGUCGAUCACCUCUAGUGUAUACUUGAUAUAUGAUAAUCAAGCGCUAGUCACCUUUGAUGUAUAUAAGGUUUAUAAUGAUAAGCCAUUAAUAUCAAGUAAUGUCUUAACGUUGGCAUGGUUUACGGUUUAUGAUGAUCGAGUACAAAUGACCUCUCAUGUAUAUAUAGUUUAGAGUUUAUGAUAAUCUAGCAAUAGUCACAUCUCACAUCUAGUGUAUACAUGGUUCAAGGUUUGUGAUGAUGGAUCAAUUAUAUGAUAAUCGAAAUUAAAGUUUUAUGAUCGCAUCUACAAUCAAUUUUCAUAAAAGAGAACCCUAAACCCUAAACCCUAAACCGCAGGGACAAACACGUCGUUUCGCAGCAUAAGUAUGAAACUAUGUAUAUAAAGGAAAUGGAACCCUAGCCGCACUUUCCUCUCUUUCCCUUGCGCGUUUCUCUCUCUCUCUCUNNNNNNNNNNNNNNNNNNNNCUCUCUUCCUUCGUCGCGUUCUCUCUCUCUCUCUCUCUCUCUCUCUCUCUCUCUACCACCGUUUAGCUCGUCACCCUCUCCUCUACCUCCUCCUAAUCACCGAUUGACAUGCAUCCACCUCUUUCUCAAGAUUGAAAUCCAAACCCUAAAUCCCCAAAUCCAAUUUCCGACCGAAUCUCUCCCUCUCUGGCGAACUCGUGCUCCGUGAAGGUAAACCCAUCACUUCUCUCUCGUUUUCACUCCUCCUUGAGCUUUGAUUUCCCUAAAUACAGCCUUAAUCUGAUUUUCUUUUCUUUUGUAUUUCUGGGUUUUGGUCAAAGUUUUCCGGCGACCUCGUCGACUUCUAGGGAGUCCUAUCGUGUUCUAAUGGAGCCGAAGUACGUUUAAGUGGCGUUGUGGAAGUAGCGGGCGGUUCUGGGUUGAGGCAGUGGCUUUCUAGCGAGGGGAGGAUCCAUGUUCUUAUGUUGAUUCUCCGAUUUGGUCUUGGUUAAGCAAGGAGAAGGUUUAGACUUUGUCUAGUUCAUUGAUUUGGAGAAACAGAUGGUAAGUCUCGACCUCUCUUGUUGUUGUGGAAUUACUAUGUUGGUUGUUCUGCGUUGAGUUGUUGAAUUGUUGGUUUUGGAUUUCACGUUGGUACCAUGGCGGAUUUGGAAUUGAAGCAGUGAAGCAAAAGCUAAUGUGUUGGUUCAUAAGGGUAAGGAUUUCCCUUGUUUUGUUGCAGUGUCGUUGUUUUUUGGUUUUGUUAUUGAUGCCUGAUUUGAGUGAGUGUUUUGGUUGCUUGUAUAGUUGUAUGUCGAGAACUUGGUGUUUUGAAGAAUACGGGGAGGUUAUGGCCCGUGUGCUCUUGCCAUUUCCUUACCUUUGUCUUGUGUGCUAGGAGUUUAUGACUCCUUUAUUCCAUGAUUGCCUCAACAAUCAGUGAGUUAUUCUUGUUUUUAUGUAUCAACUUGUUUCUGGUAUGCCUUCCUAAUUCUCACAGUGAUAAUUGUAAUGUUUAAACAUUAGCCUCUGAGUUAUAAAAUUCAUAUUAUAAGUUGAGUACUUAUACAAUUUUAAUGGUCCUGAAUAACUGCUUUUGUGUUAGAGGUUAUUCAUAUAUAGUUAUUUAUAGCUUUGAAAUGUGAUGCUUGUAGUUGCAAAGCAAGUUCCAAGACUAUCAUGGAAACUAUAAUAAUAUAGAUUAAUUAGGAAUUUAAGUGCUAUGAGGAUAGAAGCAGAUGCUUUCAAUUGCUAUCAUAAAGAGCAUCCUACUCAAACUAAACACUACUGACUUGAUAGAUUUGUUGUAGGUCGCUAACUUGUCAUGUUUUUUACUUUCUUAAUACAAAAUGAAAUAGUGAUAUAUAUGGUUUUAGGUUUUAGCUAGCCAUAGAUCACUUUCUUUUCUGUACAGUCUUUGAUGUCAAGUUACACUGCAUAUUGAGGUUGAUGCAUGCAUCUUAAUUGUUAAAAAUUUCGCUUUUCCGUUUAAAUUGAUAUAAGUUAUGUUAAGCUAAUAUGUGAUUGUUUCAACUGUGUGCAGGGUGUACCAUGGCACAGCUGAACCCAAGAUAUAUGAACGGAAACUACUGUCAAAUGCUCAUGGAUGAGUUUGAAGGUGAAAGGUUGAGGAAGAGCAUUGUGGAACAUAUAAAUAUGAUCAAGAUACUACGCUCUUUUUUUUUGGGUCAUAAUAGAAGUGCUAGGUUUAGAGUUUAAACUUUUGCAACUGAGGGAUACAAUGUAUUUUGAUGGAUAUUGAUGCAAUGAAAAGUUUGAUGGUUCAUUAGGUAACAAUCUCAAGAACAACUCUUCAGAAUGUCUACUUCUAUAUGACCAAGUUUGUCAUGAAACUAGUACAUGGUGCACAUUAAACUGGGACUUUGAGUAGACUUGCAUAUAAGAACAGUAAUACUCUAAAAAACAACCCUCUCAAAUGUGUUCUUUUCAUAUGGAAGACGGUGACUUAUGCAUUCCGAAGUCUACUUGUACAUGGGUAACUUAUGCAUGCCGAAGUCUACUUGUACAUGGGUGACUUAUGCAUGCCGAAAUCUACUUGUACAUGAGAAACGCUAAGACAAUUAGUAGACAAUUGUCAACGUAAAGUUAGACCUGGUUCAUGAGACGCUAAGACAAUUAAUAGACAAUUGUCAACAAAAAAGUAGACAUUUACUCGUAAAUAAGCAAACUAGGCUUCGUAAACAUGUAGACCUCUCAAGAAUUCUUCAAGUGUCUGUGAAUUUUGGACACUUUAGAGUUGGUCUACUCGUAGUGUGAGUCAAUGAUUCGAAAACCUAGUACACCAUGUUCACAAAACAGGUAGGUUGUUGUUCGUAAACAGGUAGACCAUUUUGUCUCAACAAAAAAGGUAGACCCUUGCUUGUAAAUAAGCAGACCAGGCUUCGUAAACAAGUAGACCUCUCAAGAAUUUUUCAAGUCUGUGAAUUCUGCACAUUUUAGAGUUGGUCUACUAGUAGUGUGAGUCAAUGAUUCGAAAACCUAGUACACUAUGUUCACAAAACAGGUAGGUUGUUUUCGUAAACAGGUAGACCAUUUUCUCUUACAAAAAAAAUAGACCCUUGCUCGUAAAGAAGCAAACCAGGCUUCAUAAACAAAUAGACCUCUCAAGAAUUCUUCAAGUGUCUGUGAAUUCUGCACACUUUAGAGUUGGUCUACUCGUAGUGUGAGUCAAUGAUUCGAAAACCUAGUACAACAUGUUCACAAAAGAGGUAGGUUGUUGUUCGUAAACAGGUAGACCAUUUUGUCUCAUAAAAAAAGUAGACCGUUGCUUGUAAAUAAGCAGACCAGACUUCGUAAACAGGCAAACCUCUCAAAAAUUCUUCAAAUGUCUAUGAAUUCUGCACAUUUUAGAGUUGGUCUACUCGUAGUGUGAGUCAAUGAUUCGAAAACCUAGUACACUAUGUUCACAAAACAGGUAGGUUGUUGUUCGUAAACAGGUAGACCAUUUUGUCUCACAAAAAAAUUAGACCAUUUCUCGUAAAUAAGCAGACCAGGCUUCUUAAACAGGUAGACCUCUUAAGAAUUCUUUAAGUGUCUGUGAAUUCUGUACACUUUAGAGUUGGUCUACGCAUAGUAUGAGUCAAUGAUUCGAAAACCUAGUACACCAUAGGGCAUCCAAAAUGGAAUUAGGAGGUCUACACAACCAAAUACCAAAUUGUGUCUCCUCAUAAUAAGCUAGGGCAGCUAAUCUAUGAGUAACAAAAUUACAAGUUCUAGAAGUAUAUGUAAUUGAGACGGAAGAGAAAACCUUCAUAAGUUCUUUGAUAUCAUCAAUGAGUCCUGCCUCAAACAUCCCUUCAUAAUGAACCGAGUUCACUGCUGUUACAGUUUCAGAACAGUCAGACUCCACCUGAAUGUUCUUGUGCCCCAAAGAAAUUAGAAGGAGUAAACCCUCCUUGAUGGCUUUGAGCUCAACUUGCUUUGCUGAGACCACAUACAAAAUUGGUUUUGCAAAAGCUACAAUAAAGUUACCUUGAUCAUCUCUUACUACACCGCCAGUGCCUCCUAUCGUUUUUUGUGUAAUAUAGCUACCAUCCACAUUUAGCUUGACAAAGCCAUGUUUUGGUGGCUUCUAGUGUUUUUGCUUCAUUGUUAUCUGUGCGCUUGAGGGUUUCCGAACAUCUUGGAACUCCUGUAGCCAGGAAAGAAAGCUUAAAACAAUCUGAGCAGGAGUCUGAGAUUUCACAUUCCAAAGCACAUCAUUCUUAUUCCUUCAGAUAGCAGCUAGAAUCAUAAGAAGUUUUUCAAAAAUAUUUUGAGGGAAGUUAAGAGCUAUCUCAAGCAUCCACCAUUUGAAGUAUGUGUGUUGGUGUGGAAAGUCACCGAAAUUAAAAGAAGCUGCUGAAAGAGUUUCUUUAGCAUAAGGGCAUAAGCAAAAGGGGUGCAUUGUGGUUUUAAACCUGUGAGGAUACACUAUACAGCUCAAGUCCCCGGUGAAGCCCUUUCUUUGCAGUCUAUCUCUUGUAGGCAAUAUACCACCACAAGCUCUCCAGAUAGUGAUUUGGACUUUAUGUGGUACGCAUGUCUUCCAAAUUCUUUUCCGUAGUUCUUUACACGGAUCUCCAUGAGAAGGUGAGUCUAGAGCACUUCCCAUAAUAGAUUCACGCGCCAACCAGCACGUUGUUUUAACUGAGUAAAAACCUUUCUUCUCCAUACUCCAACUGAUACAGUCUUGUCUAGAACGUUGACUGAGUGCAAUGCUUAGAAUUUUAUCAGCCACAGCCGGAAGAAAAUAAGAUUGAAUUAAGUGUGAGUUCCACUGUUUCGUAUCACUAUUGAUGAGCUCACUAACUUUUUCCAACUAACAAUUUGGAGGUUUUUGAAUCAAGUAUCUAGGACAUUAUGGUAUCCAAUUCUGUGACCAAAUAUUGAUAUGAGUGUAAUUUUCAACUCGCCACUAAAUGCCACCUUGUAGAAUUGGUCUACUUGCAAUAAUACUUCUCCAAGAGAAUGAAGGAGAUUCUCCAAGUUCUGCAUCCAAAAAAGAACAAUCGGGUGAUACUUGGCUUUAUAUAAUUUUACAAUAAGAGUGUUAGGAUUUUUAAGAAGUCUCCAGCCUUGCUUUGCCAGCAUGGCUAAGUUAUAGGCAUGAAGAUUCUUAAACCCAAACCACCCUCAUGUUUGGUAAGACAUAGCCGUUCCCAGCUUCUCCAGUGGAUCUUUUUCUUGUCCACAUUGUCUCCCCAGAAAAAAAGAAGCACAUAAUUGAUGAAUGUCGUCACAAAGGCCCUUCGGUAAGAGAUAACAAUUCAUAGUAUAUAGAGGCAUAGUCUGGGCAAUAGCUUUAAUGAGUACCUCCUUCCCGGCUAAACUUAAUAUAGUUGCUUUCCAUCCCAAGAGCUUUUUCUCCAGUUGUUGUUUGAUGUAAGCAAAAAUGGUUGUUUUGGAACGACCAACUUUCAUUGGAAG